rnacentral:lncRNA from 1 species
UGUUUUUUUAACCUCUAGUGUGAAGAAUUUACAGAGUUAAAAAUAGUAAUUCUGAUUGUGUAAUGAUUAAAAGUAAAAAUGCUCCCUGUGUUGAUCGUCUUUCUAAUUUCGUAAUUUUCUUUACAAAAUGGAGAAUUCGAAGAGCCAAAACGAUAGGUUAUGUGUUAUCCAUGUGUGCACAACUACGAUACAUGCGCUUAGCUCAACCCGGUGAGGUGCUUAUACUCUCUGUGUACUUUGAACCAAUCUAGAGGUGUUACAAUGGGCCGGCUUUAUGUCUGCUUGAUGUAAUUUGUAAAUGAAGUGUUCCUUCUCAACUGUCGAUGUCAUUUCUUAUUUGUUUUUCUACUUCUGCAGGCCAAGUAGGAUUUAAUCUUGCUCCAGAAGUUUUGAGGUAUUCAACUGCAAAACCAAGUUGAAUUUACUGGUCCUUUUGCUUUUCUGAAGCAUGUAACCCUGAACCCCUAAGUACAUUGUACUUAGUUAGGGAAUGAAGCCAUCGGUCCGUAUAGCAUAUAAAUCUUUGUAAUUAUAAAGAAGAAAAUUUCUUUUGCAUAUUCCAGUUUUUCUUUCUCUGAAUUUUGUCCUAUUUAUUCAAAUUCUGUUGCUUAAUCAGUGCAAAAGCAUUGUUGUACAUUUAAACAAUAUAAUAUCCUUUUAGACCUUUCAUCAAAGGAAGAGCCAGAGCCUAUGUGAAGGGUGUUAAAUGUUCAAUUUAUAUUCCUUAAAGCAGAAUUUGACCAACAUGCAUGCUCCGCCUAAGGGUGGUCAAUGGACCAUCCAUGGUAAGGUGGGGUGUUGAAUAGUCCCAUAUUGACGGAGUAGAUACAAUUUAAUUCUUCUUUUUUAUGAUUAGCUUUUUGUCCCCCAUCAAUGGGUGUGAGACAAUUUAUCUUCUUAUUGCAAAAUCUAAUACUAGCAUGACUCACCUGCAAAUCCGCCAAACAAUAGUACAAAAACGAGAAGGUAGAAAUACAAUGCCAACCAUUAGUUGUCAGUCAAGUAUUGGACUACAAACUCAACACGUUACAUUCAGAUUAAAUCAUAAAUCAGCGCUUGAAAAUUCUUUAAGUUUAACUUCAAAGUAUAAUGUGGACUAUUAGUUGUCACCUUAGGGCACAAAAUUAAAAAAAAAAAUCAUUGCUUUUUUUUUUUUGGGUAGGUAAAAUUUAAAAAAAAUUGUUUUUUCAUUGCUUUUGUUUAAUUCGGAAGUUAAAAUUUUAAAAUAACGUUUAAAAUUUUUCAAAAAACUUACAUUUAAACUUCCCAAAAAAAAAGCAAUGAAAAAACUUAACUUCCAAAAAAAAGAAAUGAUAAAACUUUUUUUUUUAAACUUAAAAAAAAAUGCAUUGAAACUACUUUUUUUUUAUAAAAAAAAAUUAACUUCCAAAAUUAAAAAGCAAUUGAAAAAACUUUUUUUUUUUUAAUUAUAAGGAAGUCUCAAAGUAUGCGCGUUAGCCGCCGUGCGUCUUACAAGCGCAUAAUAAUUUGAGUCUUACCCAAUUUGCCCUUGAUUUUUUAAUUUGGACGUUAAAAUGUUGCCUUUAAUUUUAUGAUCGUUUUAAAAUUUUUGACAAAUUUUAUUGCUCUUUUGACUCUAAAUUCUACUUUUUCUGGUUGGUUAAAUAGUUUAGUUUAGUUUUUUAUGUUCCCUUGCCAAGUUAAAAUCAUACAUUGAGUUAUCCUAAUAAUUAUAUUGAUAAGCAAUCUUACUUCGUCCAUAAUUUUUUCAACGAGAGAAUCAAGUAAGUCCAUAUAUACUGUAACUUUUAGAGUUAAAAAUACAUUAAAAAAAUAUUACAUUCUUCAUUUCCAGGAGCAUUCUGUAUUUUGUUGGGUGUCUAGCAAUUAGCAUCCUCAAUAUAUAUAUUAAAUAAACUAUUUCUUGUUUUUGCUAAAACCUUUAAUCAAAUAGAGCUAAGUAACGAAAAUGUCAAGAAUAUAUAUAUAUAUAUCAUCAUCACGUCAAUAAAAAUAUAUAUUGCAAUAUUCUUGUAAUUCUUUACAUUUUCUACAAAAUUUGCAAUUUAUCUAAUACUAAUAUUUUUUGUUCCUAAUCCACAUUAUCUUGCAUGCUUAGGAUAUCUAGCAUAGGCAAUGUGACUCAUGUCAGCUAGAAGCCAUUGGUGCAUAAAAGGUGGUGGAUGAUCUAAUAUCACUGAGUUUUGACUUUGUUUUCUUCCCAACUUUGCUAACUGAUCUGCGCAGUUAUUACCUUGUCUCAACGUAUGAAUUAGACAUGUCUCGACCUCAGACAAUAGAAUCCUACAAUCUUCUAUCACCUUAUGAUCAGGGUGAUUUGCAUCUACUUUUUUGGCACGACUUAUCAACAUCAAGGCCUCAUUCGAGUCGGUUUCAAUAAUCACUUUUUUCAAGUUGCAAUGUUUGACUUGUCUUAGGGCCUCGUGAAUAGCCCACAACUCUGGGGUCAGACUCGACGUUGACUUCGUAUCAAGUCGACCAUAGAAUCCACCUAGCCACAUUCCUUUGUCAUCACGCGCAAUGACUCCGUAUCCCGCUUCUCCUGAUUUAGGCAUAAAACUGCCAUCUGUGUUGAUUUUCACGUACCCCGGAGGAGGGAAAGACCAACUAACUAAAAACGGGGAAUUUCGUUUUUCGAUUGUUGAUCGAAGGUGACAAUAUUGAGUUGUGUUUUGUGUCGUGGAAAUGGGAUCAUGUUGUAGGUUAAAAUUAGGCAUGAACAUUGCCAUUCUUAUUAGAUUUGGCUUUAUCUACUUACUACUAAGAUGUAAUCGAAUGGAAAUACGAGUGCUAAUUACUUUAGCUACCACUAAAUGGAAUGGAAUGGAAAUAUGAAUGCUAAUUACUUUAACUACCAUUAUAUAGAGUAGUUAAGCCAAAUCCUAGAUGGUUUAGGAUUUGGAAAUAAAUUAAAUUUGGUAAUUUACUUUGUUGAAAACCGGAUGCUAACCUUUAUUCAUAUUAGAAGCAAUAAUUAAGUGACACAAUACUACUUAUUUCCAGUUUACCUAGUAAUUAAUGGAUUCCCUCUUUCCAAAUUUCAGAUAUCUAACCUGCUGUAGAAAUCUUCACAUCUUUUAAUAGUUUAGUUUUAUUCAUUCUUUACUCAUACUCCCUCCGUCCACUUUUAAACGGAACUCACUUGCAAAUACAUAGUUCCUUCGUCCUCUUUUAAUCUCACACUAUAAGAACUUUGAUCAACAUUUUACGAUAUAUUUUUUCAUCAUCAUAUUGAUAUGCGAAAAAUUGCAACUUAUAGUACUUUUCAUAUAGUUUUUGAAUAUCUAAUUUUUUAAUUUAAAAAUCAAAAUCAAUAUAAUCUAAUUUAACUUAAAAAAUUAGUCAAAUUGACUUUUGAUAAGCGCAAUAUGACAAAUCAUGUGACGAGGUAUUUAGCAAGAACUUAGACUAGGUAAAAGUGUGUAAUUACUUGAGAUAACAAUUGUGUGUAAUUCACAAAGUAAGAAGGUAUAUUUGCUGUACAUGCUUGUCAAGAAAACGAUUCAUUAUUAUUUCUAUUUCAUGAUUACAAAAAGAAUAAAGAAUAUAUUGCAUAUACACAAAUAAUUACACUAUGUUCUUUUUUUUUACCUGAACAAAAUUAAAGAAUAGCAAAGUGAAACAAACAUAAUGUCACAUUCAUAUAAGCCUUGAGAGAACCUAUUGGCUAUUAGCAUCCGCACAGCAAUUGUAGAUCAUGUACUCUCUCCCUAUAUAUAAGAUUUUUAUGAAACAAUUUAGGUUGCAUAUCAGCAAAAUUUUAAAACGGAUAGAAUUAAAGCAAGUUAAAAUAAAUCGAGUCAAAAUACUAAGUGGAUUAUUAAACUGGAUCGGGAGGAACUUGGUUUAAUGAGCUGAUUUUAUGACCUUACUAUUCUAUAAAACAUAAAGAAAUUUUGUGUAAAUGAUUAAAAUCAAUUUUAUCGUUUUCAGAAUUGCCCACAUAUUGUCGGUGAUAUGGGUCUUCCUUUAUUAUUAUUUUUUUCCCGCCAUGAAAAAAAUUAAUAAAGAUUUACUGUUAAAUUAUUUGGAGUUAUUUUGGGUAAUAAUACUAAUAUAUCAUUGCCUGCUAUGAUAUUCGAGCUGAUUUGGCAUAGACAUAUCAAAUAUAUCACAUUUAAAGUUAAAUUCGAGUAAUGGUUCCUCAAUUUUUAAUCUUGAAUAAACUUGUGUUUAUCGUAACUAUAGUACAGUUAAAUUUAUAUGAGGUACAUGAUUUAAUCCAACUCUUUUUAGGUUCAUUUACUAACCGUUUAAAUAUUCUAUUAGUUAUUAAAAGAAGUAAAUAUAACUGAACCCUCAACCCUCUAAACCCUAAACCCAAGAUUUACAUCCUAUCAAUGAUAUAUAUCAAAGUCAGAUCCAUUCAAAAUUGUGGGAUAGUGUUGAAUUGUCAAGGCUUUGGGCUAAUUAUAGUAUAACUAAGAGAUAAUUGUGUAAUUAGGCAUGAUAAUCGUCCUGUCUAAAUUUGCUGAUUUACUUCGUCCAAAACAGAAUGAUACUGAGAAAAACAUUGUCUUCAUAUUAGGAGCAAAAUUGUCACUUCUCAUUGAGGAAACACAGAGAUAUAGUUUCAACAAUAAUGUUACAACAUUUCAAAGUUACACAUGAUCAAGUGACAGAACACUACUAAUUUUCCAGUUCACCUAGUAAUGGAUUCUGUAUUUCCAAAUUUCGAACACUGUUCCCGCGAUAAAUCCGUGUAUCCCUGUAUGCUAUCCGGCUGUAGAAAUCUUCUCACCUUUCAAUAGUUUAGUUGUAUUCAUUCUUUACAUCAUUGUACACCAAAAUUAUAUCAAUAUCAUGUAAGCUUCCUCAACCUGAAAAUAGAACACCAAAUAUGAGAAUCUGACACUUCACCUUCAUCAUCAAAAUUUGAAGUUAAACAAAUUGUAUGGCAUUCUGUUGCUAAUUCCCUUCUUCCCACAUUACCACUUGAUCAUCAUCGAUAAAAUGUUAUUUUCCAAACCAUUCCCACAUAAGAAGUACAAAGAAAACACUAGCAAUAAUGAACUCAAUAUUUGCUUUUGGGAGGAAAAGGGUUCUCUAGGGAAAGAUCAAAAUUCUGUGUCAUGAACUACUUAUCUUCAUAAACAAGUGAUUGCAUGGGGAGGAAGUGGUAGGAGAGACAUUAUCAAUGAACAUGGAUUUUUUAGCAUUCUCGAUGAGAUGUUUGUAAAUAAAAAGUGUAUAAUGUGUUUGACGCGACACAACGGUGUGCAUGGUUCCCGAUAAACUAAAACACAAGAACAUACCCUGUUUGACCCCACAAGUGGAGUCUGGGGAGGGUAGAAUGUACACAGACCUUCCUCUUACCUCGUGGAGAUAGAGUCUGUUUCCGAAAGACAAAAAUCAAAAAAGAAAAUGGAACUACAAAUAGAUCAGCUCAGUCUUAUUCUUCCUUUUCAGGAUCCUGGAAAUGACAGCAAUAUAUUAGAGAAGUUCCAAAGAGUGACAUGUGAAACUUCCAAUCAGUUCUCAGUUUUCAGGGGCUUGAGUCAUUGCAGAAGUUUUUGUCAAGAACACAUAUAAUUAGCAAUAGCAUCAAACUACUUGGCCCCGAAAAAUAUUUUAAAAGUGGUAAAGAAACACGAGUGGAUGUUGAAUCAUGGAUGCACCGGAGGGGAGGUUUUUGAUUCCUCCUUCCUCUUUUUAUAAUUUGACAAAUUGAAAUUUGGUCUAGACUUUAAAAAACCAUUCUUUCCAAUUUUCAGCCAACAGAAAUAUUGACAUAAUAACCAGAUACUUGUCAAAGAGGUUAAAUCUAAAUUUAUCUUGUUUCAAGCUUUAAGAAGUAAGAAUGGCAAAGUUUGGUAAUGCACUUUACCCUUGGAUUUGAAUCAUUAAUCACAAACAAAAGAGAGUGGUGUUUACCUAUCUCCUAGUACAGUUUUCAAUAGUCUAUUCCACGAACUUAUAAACUUAGCAGCUGGCUGUAGACUUAGCCCCUUCAUUGUCUUCUCAUAUGUAGGGCUCAUUUCCUGUACUAGCUUGAUAGAUUCUGAUAGCCGAUUAAGUAGGUUUACAAGAGCAAUCACUUCAUUUCUUUGCAACUGCAGCUGUAAAAUAUAUAAGAAGAGAGAGAGACUAAGAAACAUAGUUGGCUGUGAAUAACAUGUAGUUGUUCCAGAGAGAGAGGUCAGCAAAUGAAAAAAGAAUAAAGAAAACUCACAUGUUGAUCUUGACGAUAUUCACCAUCAACUGAGAAGAGAAUCUUUAAUGCAGUUCCAAGACCAAGAACCUGGAGCUUUCCCCACAGUCGACAUUUCUCACAUCCUACACAAUCCAUGAGAGCACUGCAACAUGAAAAGUGAAUAACAAAUUGUUCAGUCAUAUGCUCAAGUACAUAGCAACAACUACUUUGAACAGCAUACACAAGAUUUUCAGCUCUUUCUGUGGUGUUAACAACAAUACAACAUCUCACUAAAAGAACAUCUUCCCAAUUCUUUCCAGGUGAGCCAGCCAUGAUCACUAAACUCACCAAAGCAGCAGCAUAUGCAAAUUGGAAUCAUAGGUUUCUAUAUGCUUAAAGAAAAUGGGAUUUGCAUACAUUUGAAUACAUAGACUGAAAUAUAAAUGUACUGAUGCAGUCAACUCAAAAUAGAGUCCAAAGGGGGUGCCAGCAUGUAUAAGCAACAUAACAUCCUUUAGGCCUUUCUUUUCUGAAUUUACGAAAUUAAAUUGAGAACAGUUCAAUUGAAACCUAAUAUUCCUGAAUUGCUUUUGAAUCUGCUGCUUUAGCUCAGGUCCACUUUGGCCUUUCCACAGUUUAGCUUCGUCAAACGGAACUGGACAUGCAGCCUGCAGUUUGGGGUUGUAUAGUAGCUGUCGAAUAAGGGACUGUGCUUUAAGGUCUUCCUCAGGAUUGCCAGUAUCAUACUCAGCUUGCUCCAAGUAAUCUUUUGCCUGUAUAGCAUAUCAAGAAGGGAGUAGCCCAAUGAAUAAAUCUAUACAAUGUUACCAUUAGAGGAGUUACCAAAAUAUAGACAUAUGUAGCAAGUACUCACUUUUGUUACAGCUCGGAGAACAAAGAGGAAAGUAAAAUACAAGUUUCGGACACGUUCAGGAUAUUGUAGAACACGAUCAUACAUCAGAUCUGGAUUUGUACCCCACUGAAAUUUGCAGCAAAAUAGUCAAGUUAGAAUAGUUCACAAUUCAUAAUGAAUUAUUUUGUGAAUGUAACAGGUUCGCCCUGCUGUUGUAAACUUAGCAAGUGUUAUUUAUCCAUUUUCUGGCAAACCAUAAUAGAAACAUGCUACAUAUUAAAUGCAAACUAACCUGGUUUUUAGUUUCAUCAAGCAGGUAAUCAGCAGCUAUGUGUAUUGAGAUUGAGGAGUGGAGACCAGAUAUAAGUUUGUAUAAAACCUUUUUCUCCUGGCAAAUCUCUCCAGAUGCAUCUGCCCAUAAAAUUGUAACUUCUGUGUUCAAUUCACAAUGAUAAUGCGUAUAAUAGUAAACAAAUACAAUACUGCACCACAAGGGGAAGGUUAGCUUAAGAAAGUAUUUACACAUUUCAAAGCUCUCCCUUCUGAAUGUAAUUCUAAGAAUACGACUCAUAAGAAAAUUGGUAAAACAAAUAGUUCUAACCAAUUGAAAGCAUCAUUUACUCACAUUUUGGACAAUUCUCCGAGUAUAUAGCAUCCCAUAUUCGCCUGGCCGAGGGACCAGUGUAGCCAGUGUAACGCUCCGGGUUCAGCAAGAGAUUGACAUAUGUCAUCUCACCUGCAAGGAAGAAGUUCAGCAACUUAGUACUCUAAAUAGAAACCUUCAAGAAGUAGUGAUAUCAUACAUGACAUUAUAUAAGUUUUAAACUCCCAAUGCAAUAUAAUCGUUGAGUUUAAGAACUUCAAUACAACUCAAAUUGAUAAUAACUACAAAUUGCUUCAUCUUAUGCCUGAUCAUACAAUUGUUUAUUGGUGAAGUCACAAACAAAAGUUUGGAAAGGAUCGAAAGAUAUACCAAGACUCCAAAAAUGUAGAAAGGAAAACCUCUGUGUAUUAACAAAGAUAGAUCAAUUACCAUUAUCUGUUUCAUCAUCAACUGUCCAAGGAUUAUCUACCUCUAUCCAUCCCCUAAAAACCUUGGAGUCGAGAGUGCGGUCAACAGCUGCCUCUGGUUUUCCCUCUUGGCAUUUCAGAUCAUCAGCAGCAAGGCCAAGUGGAGGUCUCCUAAAAGAUUCGGGGAACUCAGUUUCUGGACAUUCGCAUACACUGCAAUCUCGUAACUUACACAUACCAUCAUCAGGCCAAAAAGGGCAGUCACACCACAGCUUAACCUGCAGCCAUUAGAUAUGCAUCAAGUUGUCAAAUCACCUUUUCACGAUUUCGAAGGAAGGCAUGAUUGACCUUAGUUUUGGGCUUAUUAUAAAAUAAAUGAGAGAAACUUUUCCUUAGGCUUCUUUAAGAUGUCCAUCAAGUUCAAAAGUCACUUUCUUGUACAUAAAGGUUUGGAAAGAAAAGGCAAGAUUUUAAAGGAGAAGAAACCGUUUUCCUACUUUUUUUUUUUGGCACAGUUGGAUAAGUUUUAAAUUGCUUAGCCCACAACUUUCCGGAUAACCAUAUGCCGCAAAAUUCAAUAGAAUUAACUUUGUGACACUAUCUCUUUCCUCUCUUGGCAAUCAAAUCAACUUUAGAACAAGAAUGUAGAGGAAAUUUUUUAAAACCAUCAAUUCAAUUGAAAAUACGAUCAUCAAUUGGUAAGAUUCCUCAUAUUGGUUAGAUUUUGCACCAUACCUUAAAGUAUCUAAAGAAGGGAGUUGUAACAAGCCCUUGGAGUAAAGGAUGCAGCACAGCGCCAUUAAUAGCGUCAACGGUUUCAUAAUCACAACAACAGUCUUCAACUAUCCCAGUAUAUUUUCUAGAGUCCUGCAUUAAGGUCAAGAAGCAAACAGUCCGUCAGAAUUGUAUAAUUCAAAUAGCUAGAAGCAUACACAAUCUUUUAAAAUUUCAGUAAACAUGAGAUUCCUAAAAAUCAAUUUCGCCAGCAGCUCUGCCAAUAACUAGAUUCUUGUUCAUAUAAAUUUAGGGAAGAUACUCACGAGCCGGAGUGUCUUCUCAAUUAUCAAUAACUAAACCAAAACUAUGAAUUAAACACUUUUACACACAACCUAAUAACUCCAUCGUAGAACCAUACCACUUUGGUACCAAAGCAAUCAUGGUUUAGCUAUCCACCACCAACAACAAAAACAACAACAUACCCAGUGUAAUUUCACAAGUGGGGCCUCGAAAAAGUACACCCUCACCUCAGAAGAAGCGCAAUCAAAGCAGGAUUGAAAGGAACUUUAUCCACCCACCAAAACAAAACAAUACAGUGAUCAGCACACUUUUUUCAAAAGCUAAAUGCUCAUAUUCAACAAGAAUUACUAAUGCAACAUGGGCUAUUGAUAUUUCCAGUUUUAACAACUCGUACAAACUCAAAACUUACUUCAACAUCAGAAAAUCCCACAAUUAAGCAUUUGAUUUACAGUUUCACAAUUUUAUAAGAUUCUCCAUUCUACCAGGAAUUUAAACAAGUAAUGAUCAACAAACUUCAAUAAAAAUCUUCACAUUUCUCUAAUCACACCAAAACUAUACAAUAAUAAGAUAAACAAACCCUAAUUUUAAUGAGCGAAAAAGAAAAAAACCUGAAAACAAGGACAUGAUUUUCCCUCCUCUGUAUACAAAAAAGUCACACCAAAUGCUAUCAUCAACACCAAAAUCGCUGCAAUUGCUGAUCGACCCAAUCGCCACCCACUUCUCCUCUUCUCAUUCUCCGUCUUCUUCAGCUCGUUAACUUCAUUUUCUUCCACCAUCACAACAAUUCUUCCACAAAACCCCUAAAAUCUUCGACCCAAAAAAAUCAAAAAAACACUAAUUAAACUCUUAUUCGUUGAAUUAUGAAACGAAUUUCAGUGUCAACUACUGUUAAUUCGCAGAAUCGAAGCCGUUAUAUUUGAAGAACCGAUGAAUCUGUGGGAUUUAAUUUCCUUUUUUUUGGGUCUAAUUUCUGAAAUUUUUUUGGGAAGGUCAAACACGUCAGCACACAGAUUUUAGAACGUGGAGAAAUGGGAAACAGCAAUCGCUUUAUGUGCGUUCGAUUAAAACGCGCGAUUUGAGACUGCCACGUGUCUAUUGAGGAAGGAGCAUUGGUUUGCACUCGCGAGGAGGCGAGUAGGAGUUGUUGGAAGGUAUUAAAUUGGAACCAUUUGCAUGUAAGUGACGUUUUUUAACCAAUAGAAAGCUUUGGGAUUUGCUUACGUGGCAUAUUGAAUUGGAAAUUAAAUUAAUUUUUUUACUUAAUAAUACCAUUUUAAUUGAUUCUUCAAGUAAUAUGGAGGAUCAAAUUUGGUAAAAUGAAAAAGAAAUGGGAAAUUUGACUUUUUAUGUUUUUGUUUUUGUUUUUGUUUUUAUUGGGUGUUUUGUAUUCAUAUUGAAAUUUAAUUAUUUUUUAUGUGUGUUAAACAUUUGAAUCUGAAACCUUCGUUUAAAAGAUAAAAGUCUUGAUUCACCGCUUCACAUUUUUUUGAUUGUCUUUUUAUGCUAAUUUAUGUCUUAAAAUAUAUUUUAUCUUAUUGAGGUAUUUAUAGUCUUCACAUAUAAUUAUUACUUAAAGAUGAAAUGAAAAUAAUAAUUUAUUUUAUAUGAAAAUUUUUAAAUAAUAAAUUAUUUAAAAUUCUUAAUUUUAAAAAUAACGAUAGAUUAUAUGAGACAAAUAAUAUAUAAUUUGACCAUAGUUUGAAUCAACCCGUUGUUUUGAAAACUACGUAGGAACGUGUAAUACACUCUUUUGAAUUUCUAGAACAUUAAUUCUUAUUGUAUAGUUUGAAGAAAUAGGAAGAUAACUCUGAUAGGGUGUGUUUGGGGGUUAGGAAAAAAAAUUUAGGAGUAAUUUUUGGCGUUUUAUACGUACGAUAAAAAAGAAUUAUUUUUUAUCGAAAUUAUAAAAAGGAAUCUAUUUGUCCUUUUUUUAUUAAAAAAAUUAUUCUCAACAUAAGUUAUGUAGAAUUAACUUAUUUUGUUAUACUUUUAUCUCACUCUAUACAAGUUUUGUAGAAUUUAAGGUAUGUAAUUCGAUAUAAUAAAGUCUUUUCUAGGAUAUGAUUUGUGUAAUAUUACUAUGAUGUGGAAAUAUAAACUUAUGAUUCAUAAAGAAUUAUUUAUUAUUCGACUUUAAAAUUCAUUUGGACACUUUUUUAUUACUUAAAAUGAUGAAAGAUUAACAAAAAUAUAAAUUUUAGAGACAAAAAUUAGGAGCAUUUAUGUGGAUCAAGCCUACUAAUUUAAUUCUUAAAUAUACCUUUUGGGCUCAAUCUGGGCUUUCAUUGCUGAACUUUUGAUUGAACUUUCCCAAAUAUACAUUGGGCUUUAUGCAAUUGCACUAUAUAAGGAUUAAUUUCUCUAACUAUUUAUAUUCGUAUAAGAGAAAAUUGUGAAUUAUAGCAAACUAUUAAUUUAAAAUAAUUUUUAUAACUACAGUUUUAUUAAAUUUUAAUUCACAACAAACUUCUUUCCAUUCGCCUCUCUCCCCUCUUUUUGGAAUCUCGUUGCCCACUCUCCUCUUUUUCAGUCAACUCUCUCUCGCCUCUCUCACUUUAUACAAAUACAAAUGUAUAUUGUAUUUGUUCUAUGCACUUAUAAUUACAAAUACAUAUUUCUUUGUUCUAUGCACUUAUAAUUACAUAAAUACAAAUCUUUCUCUGCUCAAUUCUCUUUUGUCUUUCUUUUGUCUUUCUCUCUCUCACUUUAUACAAACACAAUUAUAUAGAACAUGAUGCAUAAUUUGCAUUUGUAUAAAGUUAGAGAGAGAUUUUAUAUGCAAAUACAAAUGUUUUAACUCGAUUCAAUUAUAUACAAAUUCUAAUUUUAUACGGACAUAGUAAUUACAUAUAUACAAUUAUCUAACCGAUAUACAUAUACAAUUCACCUCUUUGUCUUCUCUCGCUUGCCUCUCUCUUCCAAUCUCGCUUGCCACUCUAGCCUAACACAGAGAACUUAUACAUAUAGAAACACAAUUUUCAUAGAGACAGAUGAAUUAGUGUUCGAUAUAUACAAAUCGCUGCAAUUUAUAUAAAUCAAAUGCUCCAUAGCAAACACAAUUUGGUUAUGGAGAACAAAUAGCAAAAUUGUAGCUAUAGAAUGCUAAUAUGAUUUUUAUCUUUGCUACUUUUAAAAUUCACUCUUCGUAUAAUAUCAAUUUUAGUUGAGAUUAAAAUAAUUCAGGAUCCUGUUAAAGCUAAUAAAAGUAAAACUUAAACGGUGUUAAAUUAAAGGACAAAGAAGGUAUACUAAAAGAGAUGGAGUGUUUUGAUUAAUAUGAUUUAAUCAAUUGACUUUAUAUAUAAGAAAUUUAAUAUCCCUAAGAAAAGUGUGAGAAAUAAUCUACUGGAUGUUAUGUUAGAACGAAAAGAUGUUCAAUUUUUUUAGAAAACAAAAGAUUUCCUCCAAGAAAAAAUUAGUUAAAUGUGGAAAAGACUUUUUCCCCAAAAAGGAUAUAUUCUAGCUAAUUAUAAGAGAAGAUCAGGGAAAAUCAUAACAAUUUUAAAUUGAGAUUACAGAAUAAAAAGGAUAAUUAAAUUAAAUUAAUGUUUUUUUUGUUAAAGGUGUACAAAAAUGACAAGUGAAAGAGAGUAUGAUCUCUUCCAAUUGACUUAGUCUUGAAAAGAGAUAUGAAAAUUGAUUUGGGUUUUCUUUUCAAUAUUACGUAGGUAAAAUUAAAUAUUUUUUUCUGGAUCAUUACUUGUCAUUAUUCAUAUUCGUUUCACAGAUUUAUCAAUUUUAAUAUCAAUUAUUAUAUUCAAAGAAAUUAAAAAUACGCUUAAUAUAAUGUGAUAUUAUUUGUUUUGAAUUAAGCCCUCAAUUAUGUGGCAGUAUGAGAACAAAAAUGUUGCUAUUCCAACCCAUCUUCUAAGUAUAAAAAUAGAGUUUGAUCAAUGAUUGGAUAUUAUGACAUGUUGUGCCUAAGUUUACCUGAGACAAGAUCAAUGCUAAUUCAGCUUUGUCUGUAAAUAACUAACACAUCAUUUACAUUAGCUCACACAGCUCAUGCAAUCUUCAUUACAAAAUCAUGUCUGUACUUUAUAUAAAUAAAAAUCUUGUAAUUGAUGAAAUAUUACAUUUUAAAAUAUCUGCAAAAUCAAUAGUUGCAUAAGAGUAAAAUUUGUCCAUGAAAACAUUAUUCGUGUAAGUUUUGAUGAUUCAAUGAUCCGUUCAUUUAUUAGUUCAAUCUACUUACAUUCAUUUGACUCAAUUCAUUUAAAAGUAAUGCUAAUAUAUCUAUUUAACCUAAAUUGAUCCAUUUCGUCAAUAAUAUUUUUGAGAAAAUAUGCACCCCAUAGAUGAAAAAAUGAGUGUAUUAGUAAUGGUUAUGAUCUACUACAUAGCCCAUUUUAACUCGUUCCAUUACAACGCAUGUAAUUAUUGAGCGUCUUACGUGUGAAUGAUCAAUCCAUUUACUAACUUAGCUUGUUUUCACCUGUCCAAAUUAGCCUACUUGAUCAUUAACACCCCUAGUUGCUUCUGACAACGAGUACUAAUUUCACAUUUGAUUAUAUCUGUCUUAUAUAUCACAAUUAAAUCAAAAUAUUUCAUUUAGUAUUUAUUAUAUUAUAAAAUUACUGUUUGCGUUGAAAUAAUUGAAAUCGAAAUGAAGAUUAGUUUCAAUAAUUAUUAAUUGAGUGACGUUUGAAAAAUCAAUCGGACUCUUAACACAUAGUCUAAAUCAAUUCAGUACCUUAAAUGUACUUAUUGAAAUAACAACAAUUUUUCAUUUGAGAAAUUUAAUUUGCACCAUGUGAAUGUCAUUUUCACUCCAAAAUUAUUGCAUCUACAACUUUGUGAAGUUGUAACAAUUAUGCUUUAUUUCUACCCCAUAGACAACACAACACAAAAGACAUUAGUCCUUUUCUUCUUCAAUAAAUUGAACAUCUUAGAUAAGAGGCUCUUCUUAUAUAACUAUAACAACUACUACAUAAAAACUUUAUUCACUUGGAAUUUGAUGAUUUUGUUCUAAUUAAUUGUAACCUUUUAAAAACUUUAGGGACACUUUUUAAUAAAUUAAUUAAUCUAUUGCCAAUCAUGGGUUGUCUGUUAGUUGACAAUUCAAUGAAUGUAUAAUUUGGUGGGGCAACAGACAAACAGAAGCUCAAAGCCAACUGUAUUUGAUAGAACAAAAAUUAAUUUGACACAAUCUCUAUAUAGUCUCUUUAAGUCAUUUCUCUUUAUUGAAAGAGUCCAAAUAUACCACUAAUUAGGAUUCUGGUAGUUUGAAUGCAUACAAAUCAGUCGCGAAGCCAAAAUUUAAAAUUUAUACGUAUUAAAUAAUUUUUUUAAAAAAAAGACAAAUAUAAUGUUUACACCAAGGUUAGUGGAUUCCGCCGAACGUGUACCUUGGUCUCUAACACAACCACUAUUAAGAUGCCUUCAUCCUUUAUCAGAUGUUUCAGAUUUGAACACUAGAUAUGGAUAUUGUCAUAAAUUUAUUUUUACUCAAAUAGAUUUUACGCGACACAAAUUUAUAUCAAUCAAAACUCUAAUGUAUCUGACACUGACGGAUGAAAAAUAACGAAAAGAGUCUAAACAUGAGCAUCUUUUGUAGUUGUGGUUGUUAUUAAGGUCGUUGGUUCUUUGUAUUCUCCCUUUUCCCUUCUACUCAUUGUCUGCGCAAUAAUAAUAUAAUUAAAUUAGUGAGGGAACUAACCAAUCAUUAGGAGUUUAUAAGAGAUGAUUAAAUAAACACAAAGUUGAAAAUUUUAAGUCAUUGCAUGUGGCAAUGUGGGGAAGCAUAAAGGGAUCAGAAGAAAACUAUCUUAUUUUUUUUAGAAAUAUAUUAAUUGAGUUUGCCAGUAAUGAUAUUGUUUAGUAAUUGGUGUUUAAUAAUAUGAGUAUUCUACAUGUGAUUAGUCUUCUCAUAAUUGUAAACUGAUACAUUGCAUCAUUACAAAAGAGAGACCAAAACUGUUUUAGCCAAAAAAAAAUUAUAGAACUAUUAAAACAACAGGUAAAAUAAUUUUUUUAUCUGUAGAUUACGAGUUUGAAUUGUGAAAGCAGUCAAAAUGUCUAUAUUAGAGUAGACUAUCAAUAUCACAUCUUGUGAUAUAGACAGUCUACUCUAAUAUAGACAUUAAUGACUGCUUUCACAACUCAAACUCGUAACCUAUAGAUUAAAAAAAAAAAAAUUUUACCCUUUCCUAAAUUUUAUUUGUACGAAAUGUUUUCUAUAUCGAACCACAUUUUCCCCUUUAAUACUCCUGUUCACAUUUCUAAGGUUUCAAAAUAUAAGUUGAGCCAUGCACAAAUAUAUUCCAUCUAAGGAUUAAAAUUAACCUAGCAAAUCAGAGAGUAUUUUGAUUAAAAUUAGUGCAAAAUAUUAUUGAUAAUGUUUAAUAACAAAUAAGUAAUAUAAAGCUAAUAAAAAUAAUUGCAAGUAAAAUAACUUUCUUAAAAAUGAAUUUCUUCUUAAUCACAUCCAACAAACUGCAAGAAAAUAAGUCGAUUUAUGCAAAAUCGUCACUUAUAAUUUUUUCAUGUUUUAAAAGUUGUACAACUAUAGUCCUUGGGACCAACGAAGUACAAAAUGUCUGUCUAACUUUUAUAAAAUUUUAUAUCGCGAUCUAAAUUAUCAUCAUAAAUUAUUUAAAUUUAUUUUUAAAAAAAUCAUUUAUCAUAAAAUAAUAAUUUACUAAAUAAUUGUCGCUAUCGGCCCAUUUACGAAUCGUAAGGGCCCAAUGAUUAAAUCUUGAUAUUUAGUGGUUGGCCCAAUGAUCUGGAGCCCAUAGGGGGAGGGACAUACAACGUCACAUGCCUUUCAUGUAUAUUCCUAUAGCCAACAUUAUGUCAUGUUGAGGUUAUAAUGCAAAGCCAUACAAGUAGGCACAUGUAUUUGCAACAAAUAAAAUGUUAUUUUGGGUUGGGGUGGGGAAGAUAGAGAUAUAAUGAAACUUGGAGUGAUUAUAUACACAUACAUAGACAUUUUAAAAUAAUGACGGUCGAGAUAGAAAUUUCACUGUGAUAUGAUGUUCUUAUAAAAGAGGAUUCACACCAUGUGUGGCUCUAUCAAUAAUGAGCUUGCUUGGUAUGAGGAAUAAGAGAUAACUGAUCUCAAGAUUGAUUCCGAAAUGAGUUUAUUCGAUAUUUAACUGAGAUAAAACCACUAAAUAAUUAUCUCAAGAUUGUAAUGUUAUUUUUUAUGAAAUCCAUAUUAAAAUUGGAAUAUUCAAUAUAACGUAUUCCCUAGUCAAAUGAAUUGUAAGAGUUUGGAUACAUACUAAAUUGGAACCUACUAAAUAUACCCUAAGAUUUAACCUUUGAUAAGUUCUUUUCUUACCUUAUUCACUUGUAAACUCUCGAAUUGAAAUCAUACUAAAUGUAGCAAAUAUCAGAAAUAUUGGAGGUUUGAAUAAUUUAGAUUAUGUAUUUUUUUGUUUUAUAUUAUUUAGCUCGUAUUGACUUAACUCAUUUCUUUAAAAUGCUAUUUAUUGGGAGUGUAUUACUAAAUUAACUUUAUUAAUAAUACUUUGAAAUUCUAAAAUUUACUAUUACUAUAAUUAUUUAAUACUAAGAAUAGAACCAAAUAUUUCUUUAUAUAAUAAAAAUCUCUUUAUUUAUCGAAUCAGACUAGCAAAAGAAAACAUCUUUUAAUAGAACUAGGGGUCAAGUAAUAUAAACAAUAAUAGUAUAUUAAUAAAUCUAAUAAAUAUUUUUUUUAAAAAUUAAUUCUUCAAUAUAAGUAACUCCUUUUUUAAUAUAUCUAAACCCAUAAGUUUCAAAAAUAUUUCAAUGCAUACAUAUACUUUUAGUUAAGAUUAAAAAUAUUUAAAACUCUUUAUUUUUAAAUAUGUAUUUGAAUGUUAUUAAAAUAAAUAAAUAGAAACCACGACAAUAAUUUAAAUAUCAAUUUUAGGAUGAAAAAUAAGGGGCCACAAUUUAGACACUUUGACUGAAAUCACAUUCUAAUACAGUAAUUGAGACUUGAGAGGGAAACAUACUGAGAAAAAAGGGAAAAAAAAGAGAGGGAAACAUCAAUUUUUCAAGUUAUUAUUUUUAUUGCCUAACAAAAAUAUAUAAAAAAAAAAAUAGGACUGGCAAAUUCAGGUCUCUAUCACGUGCCAAUGGCAGGUUGGUACAUUACUCUAAUUAUUUAAAAAUUUAUUUAAUAAUUUGAUGAAUUAUUAAGCAUUAACUAAAUAGGUAAGGGGCCAUUAUUAUUGACAAAUAAUGAGUGAAAGACUAUUUUAUUUUAGUUUAUUUUGUACUAUUAUUAUUUUUUUUCUUAUUAUUCUAUUCAUUUUUAUUACAGAGAUUGAAGCUGAUAGUAGUGAUAGUGUAGGGCCCAGUGUUCACCACGUGGCAGACAGCAUCGUAUAAACUUUCCAACUGGGUCCCAUGAUAUUGGGCCCCAUCACGUGGGUCCAUUAACCUGGCCACUUUCUAUAUCUGGGGUUCUUCUCUAAUUAAAAAUUAUUGAAGUUUAAGUAGUUUUUUUUUUUGUUAAUUUUAUUUAAUUAAUGAGUUCUUAGUUAUAUUCUUAAUGGGUUAGUGGCACAAAGUCGUCUGCCUAAUGACACUGGCGUUGGGUCCGGUAACUUUCGACAAUAAUUUUUCAAUUAAUACAAAAAUUAUUUUACCUAUCGCUUGAUAUAGUAAAUUAUAUUAAAAUUAUUUUUUAUUGAUGAUUUGAUUUGAUUUGUUAACUAUCUUUAAUCUUGCUUAUAUGUAUAUUUAUAUUCAUUUUAUUAUUAAUAUCAUUAUUUAUAUCUAUGUACUAAUUAUACAAAGUAACACCAAAUAAAAUGUAUUAAUUAUAUGUAAAUCUAAAAUCUUAUCAAAUAAAGGUUUGAAUAAUAUCACGACUACUAUAUAUAUUCUUUUGUUUCAAUUAAUUUGAUUUGUUUUUUCUUUUAAAAAAUUACGUAUAACAAUGAGUUUUCUAAAUCAAAUAUAGACUAAUUUUGUUUCAUUUGCUCAAUAAAACUCGUACGAAACCUUUAUAUUAAAUAUAAAAUUAUUGGUACAAUUAAUUGUCAAUUAUAGAUACUCUAAUUAAGAUUUUAUCAAGUGUUCAAUCAAUGAUGGGGGAAUUAGGAACAACUCCUAAUUAUGGCACCGUUCUAUAAGGGAUAUUGUUUAGACUUUAGAGUCUAUGAUAUAUAAGCAAAAGAUUUCCAAGAUUUAUUUGGGGGAAAUGUGAAAAUAAUUAGUACUCAACAUAAUUAAAAUAUUUUUAUAAUGACAAAGUUUGUAUGAGAAGAUAUAUGUAUACCACCGCAUAGAUUUUAUUUAGUUGUUAUAAAUCUAACUAUGUAAAAUUAGAAGAAUCGAAUACGAAAAAGUAAACAUUAGUAACAUUUUCUAGUGAAGUUAGGACCAUAUAACUUAUGGAUACUACUUAAACAUAAUUUUUUACUUUUUAGUGUCUUGAGAUUUACUACAUGCAUGACAUCAAUAAUAACUACUAUAAAUAUUUUAUUUUUAUAAAUAUUUAUUUACACUAUAUGUGAAUAUUAUGUAAUUAAGAGAGAAUUUUACAAAAGUGAACUAUCAUAAUGAAUGUCAUUAUUGAUAUAAGUAGAGUGUUACUAAAGAAAAUAUAUAAUGUGAAAAAAUUAAUUAUGGAAAAAAGGAGAAAAAAUAAUUUUAUAAGAAACUACAGUUAUAAAAAAAAAUCGACUGUAUUUAAAUUAAAAAAUUGUAAUUAUAUUCUAUGAAAAGACUUCCUACCAUUUUUUUUAAAAUUUUUCUACCAUGCAACUGCAAACAUAUUUCACGUGUGAUUAAGAUAACCAUAUGCUUUUGGCCAUUUGAUUUAAUUUGCACCAAUAAUUUUUUUUUACACUAUUUCGAAAGUACUACUCCAUAAUUGGAAAAGAUGUAUCAAUAAUUUCAUUUUUAUUGUACUGAUUUGUGAUUAAUGCCGAAAAAUCAACUCUAUUUUUUAAGUAUGAUUAGAUAUGUCUGCAUGACUUAGAAGAGUUUCACACUAUUUAGAACUAAAUUUUAUCGAAAAAUGGUUGAUAACUGAUAAUAAUCGUAAAUAGCAAUAUAAAUUAUCAUGAGAUAAUUGAAUUCUCUUGUAUUUUUAAUUAGAUAUCUUAUAUUUGAAUUCUUAGAAAUAAAAAGAAUAUUCACUAUCUCUAAAAUGAUGAUAAUAUACAAAUCCAAAUUUAAUAGUUAGAGUCGGGUGAAUAUAAUUGCUCCAUUUUCAAUAGUUCAUAAAAUCAAAUCCAUGUAUUAUAUGUCUAUUCUACCUGGCUAACAAUAAAUAUAUUACAAAAAAAAAUAAUCAAAUAUUCAGUAAAAUCUCACUAAAUAAAAUUUAUUGAAAAUAAAAUGUACGUAAAUUUUAUUAUUAUUUUGUAAAAGUGAAUCUACAAGAGCGAAACAAUUAUAAUACAAUAAACAGUCUAUGAAAAAAAUUACUAAUGAACAAGAAUAUUAUUGUACUAGAAUGCAAUAUUUUUAAUAAUUAAGAACUUAUUUAUUAAUAAAGGUCAAAAAUCGAGUAAUAUAAUUAUAAUUUCUAGCAAUCUAAGGAAAAUUCUGAAAGUUAUCUAGAGAAUGGUAGACAUAGAACUAAAAAGAAAUAAUUGAUUGGAGAAUACAAAUCCCAAGAUCAUCUGCUUUUAACUGCAACUAUUUUAAUAUAUAGUCUGAAUUCAGAGAACUCAUUUACUGCUCCUACAUGUAUGAACAAAGUAUUAUUCAUUUAUUAUAAGUUGUGGGAAGUCAGUUUUCAAAAUUUAUUAUUUAUUGUUAAAAAAAGAAGAAAAAGGACAAUAAUUAGAUCAGUGAGAAACGUAGACUAUAGACUCAUACACCAUGCAAAGCCAAAAAAAUAAAAUAAAAAGUCUUCAUUUUUCUUACCCACUCUAUACGCUAAACGCCGUUGCCGCACGGUAGUUUCAUAAAUGUACUUAUAUUUUUCUUUUAAAAAAAGGUUAUUUGAUUGUGAAACAAAUAAGGGUUUCUACGUCUUCUAUUAUUUGUAGCUCGAUUCAUUGUUUUUACUUAACUUAGGAGUUAAGAGAUAAAGAGACGAUAUUCAAACAAGUUAAUCGGAUUAUCUAAUAAUGCAAGUAUUCGAUGUCUCUUCACAUAUUCGAACUUGACAACUAAAGCGUGAAUAUAAUAUGUGAUCAAUAGCAGACUCGGGUGUUUUCAGAAACUCGAAUUGAGGGCAUGCAACUUGACAUUCAACGGACUUGCCAUUGAAUCAUCUAUUUCUAUUUAUUUUUUAGGGGGUUCAAAAUGUAUAUAUUUAUAAAAAUACAAAAAAUUUACUUUUUUAUAUAUAUUGUGUAUAUUUGUAUCGACUGUGUGAAUCAAGAAUUAAACCGAAACGAAUUCCUAUAUUAUGAUAAAGAAAUUUAUGUUGGAUCUAAUUUAAUUCCUCAUAAGUUAAAAAUUAUUUGAGUUCACAUAAAAAAGAUAAUCACAUCCUUAAUUAGCAAAUGUGAAAACUCAACAUAUAUAGCCUUUCUUGCAAACACAUGUUAAGUAAAUUUAAGUUAUAUUUUAGACCUGAAACUAUUGAUUAAAACGAUAGCGAAAUAUUUUUAAAUUUAUAACAAGGUUUAUAUUCAUUCAUUUUCUCAAUCUCUAAUCUAAAAUAAUUUAAGUUUGAUGUAAAGAUGCUUUAAAAAUAUAAUAUACCUAAUUUAUUUAUUUCUCAUAAUAAAAAAAAUUCACAAAUCACUAAUUUUUAGGCAAACAUAAUAAAUGUCGCUCAUAUACACUAAUUUUCAAAUUAUAUAGAAAAAAUAACUCACACCAAACUUAUCUGAUGUGGCAAGCUCGAGCAAGGUCAUCAACACUCAAUAACGACUAGUUAAACUUGACAUAGUGCAUUAUAAAAUCAACGUUAUUAAUAUGGUGUUACUGCAGAGAUCCCAAUGUCAAUUAGGCGGCUUCCAUUACCUUUCUAAACUCCUUAUCACCAACAAGGUAAGAAGCAUCCUUCCAUUUUAUUCUCUUUUAAUUAAAUUAUCUCCUUAUAAGUCAACUUUUCUAAAAAACCUAACUUUGUUACCACUUUCCUUCCUUUGUCUCUAUCUCUCUUCUUGUUGGGUCAACCAACCACGUUAUUAACAUUAAUUAUAUGUCCCCUCUUCAUUUGAUUCUCAAUUUUUUUUAUUCGUUAAAUAUUUAUAUUAAAGUCCGAUUAAAAAAUAUUUUAUUAUUCCACGUAGAGUCAUGUGAUUCUUCUUUAUAAAAUGUAGUGCCAUUCCCUCUUAUAAACUCACCAACAUUUUUCCAAAAGCACAAAGUUUUCUCUCUGAACACAAAAAUGGAAGAAUUAGAUGCUCUUUAUCCACCAGAUUCUGAUCUUGAUCUAAGUUUCACAAGUUGUGCUUCCAUUACUACCACCACAACGGAUCGUACACUCAGUGCGAGAAGCAGUUUAGCUCGUAGUAGUCUUACAUUGAGCUUCAACGAUCGUCUUUCAUGUACGUCCUCAACAAACAAUCCAUCUGCAGAAAUCCCCAAUUUCCACCGCCGUGCACACCGCCAGCACGACCCGAAUUGGUCUGCUAUUAAGGCGGUGACCACCCUUUCCUCCGAUGGCUCUCUCCAUCUCCGCCACCUUAAACUCCACCGCCUUGUUGGGUCUGGAAAUCUCGGCCGAGUUUUCCUCUGCCGUCUCAGGGAUUAUGACCAUGCUAAUUUUGCCCUUAAAGUUAUCGAUCGGGAUUCGCUUACAGCGAAGAAGAUUUCUCAUGUUCAAACGGAGGCGGAGAUUCUCUCCUCUUUAGAUCACCCUUUUCUACCUACACUUUAUGCUCAUUUAGAAGUUUCACAUUAUACUUGCUUGUUAAUCGAUUUCUGCCCUAAUGGGGAUCUCCAUUCCUUGCUCCGAAAACAACCUGGAAACCGUUUACCGGUUGAUUCAGUCAGAUUCUACGCAGCUGAGGUACUCAUAGCACUAGAGUAUCUACAUUCUCUCGGAAUCGUUUACCGUGAUUUGAAACCUGAAAACAUACUUAUUCGUGAAGAUGGUCACAUUAUGCUUUCCGAUUUUGAUUUAUGUUUUAAAUCCGAAGUUUCCCCGAAAUUAGAUUUCACUACCCGUGUUCUAGAAGGAUCUAGAAGAAGAAGAAACAGUUGUUACGGUGACCGGCAACGGGAAGAAACAGUGACCGAGUUCGUCUCAGAGCCAACAUCUGCAUUUUCUAGAUCAUGCGUCGGGACUCAUGAAUACUUAGCGCCGGAGCUCGUCAGCGGCGCCGGCCACGGCAAUGGUGUAGACUGGUGGGCGUUUGGGGUGUUACUAUACGAGUUGUUGUACGGUACGACACCGUUUAAAGGAAGCAGUAAAGAGUCUACCCUGCGCAAUAUAGCAUCAAGCAAAGGAGUGAAGUUUUACGUAGACGAAACUCAAGGAGAAGAAGCUGAAUUGAGAGAUUUAAUAGAGAAAUUAUUAGUUAAGGAUCCAAGGAAGAGGCUAGGAUGCACCAGGGGUGCAACGGAUAUUAAACGUCACCCAUUCUUCGCCGGAAUAAAAUGGCCGUUGAUCAGAACUUACCGGCCGCCGGAAGUACGGGGAAUAACGAUAAAAAGGACGAAGAGUAAGGCGCAUGUGAGUCACGUGACUGGAUUCUCGUCAUCACCAAGAAUAAGAAGGCGUUGUUUAUGGAAAAAAUUGGGUUAUCUAAUGAGGAUUAAGGGAUCUAAGUACAAUUUAAACUCUAAUCAUAAUUAUUAUUGUCAUACUAAUCACAAGGUUAGAAAAUGUGCUUAAAUCCAUUUCAACCUUUUGUAAAACCAUUUAUAUUGUUAUAAUUUUCCCCUUUUUUUUUGGGUAUAAGUUUGUAAAGGAGGAGUUAGAGAACAUCAAUUUUGGGGGGAGAUGUUCAAAUUUUUUUCCUUUUCUUUGGUUUGUUUCCUUUUUAAAGGAAAUUUCAUACAUAUUUGUAAAUGAAAAAGAAAGUUAUGGAAGAAAAAGUAUUUAUUUAAUUAUGUAUUAUUUGCUUCUGUAAUUCUUUUUUACAUGUUUUCUCAUUUUAUAAUGUAUUAAAUGCUUACAUUAGGCUAAUAGGUGCAUGACAGAUACGAUAAGAUAUACGUAAAUCUAACUACAAUCGAUAUAUAGAAAAGUUGUUCUGAGUAACAAACAUAGCAAUCAAAAUGAAUUUUCAUUUCAUUAAAUUACAUUUUUAUAUAUAUAUAUAUAUACAUUGACAAAAAUAUCUUUGAUUAAAUAUGAUUGUCUCCUUUCCUUUUAUUCCCCUAGCAACAAUAUAAUCUUUUUUAUAAGAAAAAGAAAAAAGAAAAGAGAAAAACAAAACUCCUAAUUGCUUUCCAUGUUGUAAUUUGUUGUUGUUGGUGGACAAAAAAUGUUUGGUAAUUUUGUAAAAUAUGCCAUUGAAAAGAAGAAAAAAAGUUCCUUAACAUGAUAUAUUCCUCACAUAUGCUAAUGAUGAGUUUGUAAUAUGAUAUUUUAAUAAUUAAAUGAAUGAUUUUGUCCCAUUCUUUAAAAUUGUAAACUCCUGUUAGAAGUGAAUAUGCUCAUCAUAAUAAUGUCUUGAUAUUAUUGAUCAAUCUUUAUGUUAUUGAAAACUUUACUUAGGCUGGAAAACAUUAUUAUGACACAUUGAAAAUAAACAAAUUCUUACCGUCUUUAUUUAUAUCAAGUAUAAAUAAAAAAAUGUACAACUUACAUAUAUAUUAAAUGAUGAAAAAAAUCGAGGAAUCAUAUUGAUUGUUUUUUUUUUAAAUACUUUAUUUAAAUAUGUUUUUAAUUAUGCUAUUAUAUUGAUUCUUCUCCAAAUAUGAAUAGUUAGACGUUCAUUCAGUUUUUAUGAUAAAAGACUAUAGAUCAUUGAUCGUGACAUUUACGAGUAUCAGAUAAUUAACAGUUAAACGUGGGACAUCAAACUAAACAUGAACAUAUGAUGGCAUGUGGGAGCAAUAUGGUGUGGUUACCAUAAUUCAUGCAAAUUGCAUAUGGGUUUCCAAGGUUUUGACUUAUAAUUAGUCAGCAAUAUUUAUUAUUAUUGUUAAUUAUUAUUAUUAAUUAAUAUAAUAUGAAACCUAACUUUGGUGGAUGGUAACUGGGAGAAGGGACCAAAUUAAUACUAGUAAAAUAAUUUAAGAAUGGAUAGAAACCUAAUUAUUCCAGAAGGUCUAUAAUUAAUUAUAAAGCCUAUUUGCAUAUUAAAUAAAAGUUGCUAGUACAGCUCAACAUCGACCGACCACAAGAAUUUUUUUGCAAAAAAUUAAGUUACAAGUUGUGAGACAUAACUAUGGUCCCUUUACUAGAAAGUAACAUUUAUCAUUAAAUAUUACUAACUAUAUAGUCAAAAUUGCAUAUAAAAAUUGGAAAUUUUGUUUUCACAUAAAAAGAUAGUUUUUGCUUAUAUAUAACAAUUAGCUGAUAAGAUCUGAUGUCCAUUUACUAUAAUAGCCAACAAUAGUCUAGACAAACGGCGCUACUAUAAAGAGGUCUGAUUGAAUAUCCGUUAAUUCAAGCACAAAAUAUGUUCUUUAUGGGAACCAAGAAUGCCAACUCUGACUAUAUAUUAUAAGAUUAUUUCAAAAAUAACCAAAUGAUUAGUAACUGAAUACUAAUUAGGCAGUUAAUGUGUAGACAGAUCAUAAAAGUAGAUAUUAUAAUUUAGAAGAUAAAUAGAUAAGAAAUGCCAACUAAUAAUUAUUAGAGGGGAAGUAUGGCAUCAAAGGUAGUUGUGUGUAUACAUGAAUAAUGAGAUGCUUCUAACUCUACAACUUCAAUUUUCUUUUUCUUUGGUCUAUAGUUGGUUAAUUAGAACCUGCAAAAAACAGAAAGUGGAUGCAUUUUAGUUUUCUAUGGAUGAUAAUCUGAAUUUGUGUUGCUCCGACUCUAAAAAAAAAUAUCACUCGAUGCAUGUCAGAUCUUCCGAAAGUAGUGUUUGAUGAUAUUAUGGAGAGUUCGCGCAACAUUCUGAAUCGAAAUUACCAGACAUGUAUGGCAGGAAUACAGAAAUGCUACUAAAAAAAUGUAGAAACUGGUUCUUGUUAGUAAACAGACAUGUGAUUUAGCUGAUUUUUCUUUGUGAACAUCCCUUCAGUAUAGAAUAAUUCCUUUUAUUAUUAACUAAACUUAGAAUUAUGGACAUGAAAAAUGAGAUAUCCUUUCUUUUGGGGCUGCUAUAAACACAGGUAUCGAUCAAUAUGUGUUUAAAUGAUAUACAAUCAAUCAUCUGUAUAACUGUGUUAGUUGUUCCAAUAUUUGGAUCCUAUAGCGAAAUGUUGUUAUAGAGAAUAUGUGAUGUAACAUAACAUGAAAAAUCGGUUACAUAGGAAACACGUCUGUUAUAGUGAAAUGUUGUUAUAGAGGAUGACUGUUAUAGAGAGGUUUGACUGUAAAGAUUGAAAGUUAACGAGGAAAAUGUUUUUAUGUACCUUUAUUAGCAUCAGCUUCACUCAGAGGAGUUUCGGAGGAUGGUGAUGGUGGUGAAGUGCACACAGAUUCCCGGGCUUCAAUCAGCAUGGCGAUGACUUCUCGCAUAGUAGGCCUAUUGGCAGGGGAUGUAUUGGUGCAGAACAUAGCAAUCUUGAGAACUAGAGACAUCUCCUCUCUUGUUCUUGCAACACUAACAUCCAGUCUUUUGUCAAAAAGCUCAGUUAGUGCCACUCCUUCAUGAAUUGAUCUCCUUACACAAGUCACCAAAUCGCCUCCCUGAUCGAGGGGUUGAACUGGAGACCUACCAGUAAUCAAUUCCAGCAAAACAACGCCAUAACUAUAGAUGUCGCAUUUCUCUGUCACUUUCAUUGUGUAUGCAUAUUCUGAAAAAAAGAAAAAAAAAAAAGAACUUAGUUAGCUUCUGCAUUUAAGUUAUGCUAAUAUAGAGUACCGUUUUAAGUGCCUCAAGACCGGUCUUACCAGGGGCAAUGUAGCCGUAUGAACCAGCAACUGCGGACAUGGAUUUUGAGUAAGGGAAGUCAAUUAGCUUUGCCAAGCCAAAGUCUCCAACAUGUGCCUCAAGCAAUUCGUCCAACAAAAUGUUGUUCGAUUUUAUAUCCCUGUGAAUGAUAUGUGGCUUACAGUCAUGGUGCAAAUAGCAUAGUCCCUCAGCAGCUCCUAAGGCAAUUUUGUACCUGCUAUUCCAGUUUAGUAAACUAGUUGUCUUAUUCCCAUGAAGUACUUCCCCGAGGCUUCCGUUUCCCAUGUACUCAUACAAGAGAAGAUUGCAAUCUUGAUGGUAGCAAAAACCAUAUAGCUUGACAAUAUUUCUGUGAUUUAUCUUACCAAGAGUACAUAAUUCAGCUUGGAAGCUGCUGUCAACACUCGCAGUUUCUCCUUGCGGCUUCAGCUUUUUAACUGCAACAAACUCACCAUCAGCCAUAUGAGCUUUGUAGACAGUGCCACAAGCUCCCCUUCCUAUGAUCGCGCUGUCUGAGAAAUUUCCAGUAGCAUCGACAAGGUCCUGAUAUGUGAACCCUUUUCGUGGAAAGUAAUGACCAUUCAAGUCAUCCGGCUUUACUUGAUUUUCCACGGAAACAAAAGCUGCUUUGUGGCCUCUAAUGAUCCUGCAUAUAACUACAAUCAAUAUCAAAGAGAUCACCCCAACAGUCGCAGAAACAGUAGUAAUUAUUUUUUGCCUAGAAGAACCGUGUUUCAACCAGUUUGACUUUGUAGCGAUCAAAGGGGCCGGAGGAGGAUCACAAUGGAUGGAACCAGACGUGCAUAACCCAACAUUUCCAGCAAAGUUGCUCGAGUCCAUCCUUUUAAAGGCAGGCGUGUUUGGAACUGAUCCCACAAGAUUAUUGUUAGAAAGAUUGCAUACUAUCAGACUGAUCAACUGCCCUAUUGAAGUUGGAAUCUCACCAAUAAGCUGGUUAUCAUUUAAGUACAAUGUUUCAAGCAUCUGCAAGUUCCCGAGGUCGCUAGGAAUUGAUCCGUUGAGAGCAUUGUGACUCAGAUUCAGAGAAAUCUGAAGAGUUCCAAGGUAGCCAAGCUCAAUAGGAAUACUACCAGAGAAGAAAUUGCCUCCCAUUUCCAAAUCCGUUAGUCGUGCUAGUCUACCUAAGCCACCAGGUAUCUUUCCAUUAAACUUAUUGUCAGACAGCUUAAGCAGUUCCAAGUUGACUAGCCUGCCAAGUUCAUCCGGGAGAUUUCCAGUGAACAAGUUCUUGCUAAGAUCAAGCCUCUGGAGACUUAUACAAUUCCCUAAUUCAUGAGGAAUAUAGCCCGUGAGUCGGUUGGAGGAAACAUUAAAAGCAACAAGCUUCACAAGUUUUCCAAUAUCAGGAGGGAUUUUCCCAAAAAAGUUGUUAUUUGACAAGAGCAACCUCUCUAACCUUCCAAGGUUGCCUACCUCUGGUGGUAGCAAUCCUGAAAAUCUGUUGUGAAAAAGCUCAAGAGCUGAAAGGUUCUCCAGCUUGCUAAGAUCAACAGAAAAACUCCCAGUAAGCAGGUUAUCUCCUAGCAUUAGCUGCUCGAGGGACUUGCAAGUCUUUAGGCCAUAAGGGAUAUUUCCCGACAACUUGUUAGACCCGAGGCUCAGGAAUGUUAACUUCUGAAACUGACAAAGCUUUGAAGGUAUUCUUCCUUCAAGAUUAUUCUUGGACAGGUCCACUACAGUGAGAUUGCUUUUGAGGCCAAUAAAUCGCGGAAUAGGACCUUCGAGGUGAUUGUCAAAAAGUUGUAAAUUCUCCAAGAAUGCAAGAUGCUGAAACACUGCUGGAAUUCUACCUGUCAAAUUGUUUAUAGACAAGUCAAAAUUCUUAAGCAGCUUCAACUCUCCAAGCUCCUUUGGGAUCUUCCCAUGUAAUCUGUUCUCAAAAAGGUGAAGCAACCGCAGAUUAGAAAGCUGCCCCAAACUUUUCGGAAUGUUUCCUCUCAACUGAUUUUCAGAUAAAUCAAUCUCAACUGCACUCAAACAAUUUCCCAUUUGCCAUGGAAUUGUUCCAUUUAACUGAUUUGUGUAAAUGUAUAGCCUUCUCAAAUUAGUUAACUUUCCAAUCUCUUUCGGAAUUUGUCCACUGAAUGAAUUCUCAUGCAACGCGAGUAAUUCCAACUUACUGAAGUUCCCAAUCUCAGGAGGAAUUGCACCAGAGAAUGAGUUAGCCCAAAGAAUUAAGUUGAUGAGGUUCUUAAGCCUUUGUAACUCUACUGGGAAAGACCCUUCUAGCCUAUUUUCCGCUACACCAAGCACUUGUAAACUAUCACAUUCACUAACUUCAGCAGGAAUAGGGCCAGACAGAUAGUUUCGCCCGGCCCUGAUGAUCCUAAGUCUUUUCAAUUUACCUAUUGAAACAGGUAUUCUUCCAGUAAGAUUGUUACUAUAAACAACAAGCUCCUCAAGAAGUGGUAAGUUUCCAAUAUCCUGAGGGAUUUCACCAGAAAUGUAAUUCUCACACAAGUAAAGCUGUCUAAGUGAGGUAACAUUGCAUAGCUGGACAGGGAACUCUCCAUGGAACCUAUUGGUACAAAGGUUCAAUUUCUCCAAACUACGACACAACGCGAAAUCAUCAGGAAUUUGACCAGAAAUGAAAUUUGAUGACACAUUCAAUACUGUCAAGUAAGGAAGUUCACAAAUUUUUGAAGAUAAACUACCAGACAAGUUACGAUUAUCGAUAUUGAGAGAAAUCACCUGAUCAUUUUUGCUACACUUAACACCAUCCCAUUUGCAAGGAUUCAAGUCUGAAGAAUUCCAACUUGAAAGAUUGUUAUCAAGAUCAUUAAGGGAUUUUUUGAACUCCAAAAGAAUAAGUCCCUCUUCAUUUAAAGAUUGAGCAAAACCAGUAAAGAAAAGAGGAAUCAACAGAACAAAUAACAAAUGCUGUUGGAUUGCAGAGUUACUAUAACUUGCCAUUUCCAAGGAUAAAAGAGCAUGAAUGACAUGCUGUUUAGUUUACACUAAAGUCAUGUCAAUAUUUUUUUUAAUGGAUGAAAACUAGGAAACUUAUGAGUAUGGCAAUGCCCAAAAGUUGUAACAGAGCUAAUGGCAGACCAAGAAACAGAUACCAUUAAGCAAGUUUUAAGAUUCCAGGGCCCAUAAUUCUCAGUAUACAACCCAACCCAUAUUUCAAGAAUCAAAAGAUCAAAAAAAUGAAAACUUGAAUUAUUUUAACCUUAAUGACCACAAAAACAUGCCACUCAAGACAUGCAAAUCACCAAGAUUUUACAAUAUCAAGAAAUGGGGUUUAGUUAUAACAUGAAAUCUUGGAUAGUAUGCUACUCAAGACAUGCAAAAGACAAAAUACUACAAAUCAAGAAAUGGGGUUUAGCUAUAAAAUGAAAUCUUGAAAAAUAAUGCCACUCAAGACAUGCAAAGGACUAAAGACCAAGAUUCUAAAAAUCAAGAAAUGGGGUUUAGCUAAAAAUUAAAUAAGAAGAUAAAAAAGGGAUGUGAAGACAGAGAAAAAAAAUUGGCUAAAAAAAGUUGAUUGAUUGAUAAGGCAAGAAAAUGGAAAAGGACUACAAAGGGAGAGUCAACUAGAACUUUACAGAAUGGAAGGAGUACUAGAACAUGUGAGUGUGAUAUGUGAAUGAAUACAACUAUAUGAUGAUGAUGAUGAUAAAAUUGUUAACCACUUGUUGUUUUUUGCUUCUUCUUCCUCUUAAUUUUCCAUCUUUUUCUUGUUGUAAUUCUAAAAAUCAUGAUUUUAUUCUCUUAGUUGGUCACAAAUAGUAGUAUUCUGUUGCUUUUUACACUAUGUAUGUUAAGUGUUGUUGAAAUAAAGAGAGAUAGAGAUUGGUCAUAUGAAGUAUUUUUUCUUUGAAGUUAUCUUUUAGCCAACUAUUUUUAAGCCUAACAAUAUGGGAUUGUUUUGAUGUGGAAUUCUUUCCCACUAGGACUCUUGGAAUUUCCAACUUCUCUAAUUACCUCUUUUACUUUUUUCAAACUUUUCGAUAUUCGGUAUCCAUAUUUUAUGGUAAAAAAGAUUUCUAUCAUAAACGAUUUUUAUUUAUUCUUUUUUAUUUUUUUCAUUUUUCACUCAACAUUUUUUUGGUAUGUCUAAUUUAUAGUUGGGCUAAGAAGUCCACUUUGACACUCUCUACCAAAGACAACUUUAUUUUCCAAUUACUCAAAUCAUCCUUUUUAACGUUCUUAUUUUUUAUUUUUUACCUGAUAACUUAUAUACACUUUCUAAUUUGACUAAUUUAGAUUAGGGCGAAAAAGUCUAGUUGUCUACUUUGGAGAGUAGAACGCUCUUUAUCAAAUAUGAUUAUAUUUUCAGGAUUCAAAUCGAUUUUUACUUUUUAUUUUUUUCUACUUUUCACCUCAUGUUCGAUAUUUGCUUCUGGUUCUUCUAAUUCAGAAAGUCAUGGCAAGAAAUCCACUUUUAACACUUUCUAUCAAAAGACAAUUUUAUUUUUGAACUCAAAUCAUCUUCUAAAAUUUUUUCUCUUUUCACUUUUCAUUCGAUGUCCUAUAUUAUUCACUUUCUAAUCAGAUUUUUUUAGAUUCAGACGAAAAAGUUCACUGUUAAAAGUAUUAAAAUUGAUUUUAUUUUUAAAACUCAAAUCGAAACCUCUAAUUAAAUGAUGAAGAAAUACUUGUCACUCUAUCACGACUAAUUAAUUGCCUCUUUGAUUUUUCACUAAUUUGUCUUUUUUCCUGUUACAAAAUUGGAACUAGUCCACAAACGUCAUGAUAUCUUUAAAGAAAAUAGUCAUGUUAGGGAUAUAGUCCAUUUAGUAGUGGGUGGAUGAAUUGGAAAAGAAAUGUAAUGUUACAUUGUAUCCUACCACAAGCCAAACUUUCAGUAAUGGGUUUGGCAGAAAAAAUAUAGGUUAUUUUGGUAGGCACAUUAACAAAAGUUCAAACAAUCUUGUCUCUAUCAUAAAAAAUAAUUUUCUUACUGAGGUGCGUUCGAUACAAAAAAAAUACUUUUUAAGAAAAUAAGUAUUUUUUGAUACGUAUAUAAUAUAAAUGUAAUUUAGAGAAAUAUUAUAAAAAACGAAGAUGAGAGAUGAGAGUGUGGGUUAGUGGAGAUGAGGGCUUCUCAAUCAGGUGUGAAACGUAUAAUGUUGUUCAACCUUUUCCUUUGUCUUAUGAAAAAAAAAAUUUACUAAUUGAAUUGAAAAAAUUUAAUUAUUUUUUUUUGAAAAAUGUAUUUCAGCACACCUUUAAUAAAAAUAAAAAUAAAAAUAGGUAGCUUGUGGUAUGCACGCAUCAAAAGUUCUCUAAUAAAACUCUCAUCCAAAUGACUGCCAAAUAAUUUUAUUUUAUUUUUCACUUUAAAUCACUUGUGAUUGAUGACUUGGAUGAUAUCUAAUCAUUUAGAUUUGUCGUUAAAAAUUUUUAAGUAAAUUUUACUUUUUUUAAUUCCGUUUUACAUUAUUUAAGAUUUUAACACACUUGUUAAGAAAAUUAUUUGAUAAUACAAAUAAUAAAGGGUAUUUAACUAAAUAACUCAUAUCUUUGAAAUGAGUAACAAAUGAAUAUAUGUUUUUAUUUUUUAAUGAUAAAAAAUCCACAGUUUUGUAUGGAUGAGGUAAAUUUAAAUCAACAUAGUAAAAGUAGAAACUAUGCUAUUCAAGUUCUAUAUAAUAAACUCGAUUCAAAAGAUUUAAUCCUCUUAAUAAUGCAAAAAAGAAAUUUUGAACUUUAAAGUUCCAUUAUGAAAAUCUGAGUCAUCACCCCAAAGGGUGAAAAAAAAGAAGUAAAUUGAGGUUGUGAAGGAAUAAACAUUAUUUUGGACUAAAGUUUUUAUAUUAAAGUGAUAGAUAAAAAUGACUGAAUAUUAAUAAGUUAAACACAUUUGGUGUAGCAUUUUUGUUAGUUACUAUAAACUAAAGUAUAUUGCGAUUAGGAAAACAACUUCUUUUGCAUAAUUUAAUCGAGUUAGAAUGUAACAAUAUAAUAUAUUCAUCAACAUACCUUAUUUUUCGUCCAACAAACUUCAAAGCAGGACGGAAUUAAAGAUGGUAACUAGUUAAUUCGAUAAAAAUUCAAUAGUUUUACCUCAAACUUUAUAUUAUAUUAAAUUUUUUAUUUAACAUAAAUAAAUCAUUUAUCAAAUAUUCAAUAAACAAAAUAAUUAUUUCAAAAUAACAGGUUUAUUUUUUGAACCCACUCCAUAUGGUUGACUAAACUUAACAGAAAUAACAUCACCACCUAUAUAAAUAUAUAUUAUUAUUUUUUAUAUAUACAUAACAGUGUUCGACUAGCUAUCCUGAGCUAUAUGUGAUUUAACCAUUGCUCGGGGUGAUACGUUUGAAACCCUAAGAAUGGGAAGAAUUAUGUUGAAACAUUCACACGCAAAAAUGGAUCUCCAAUGUAAUCCAAAUUAAGUUGUGCAUUAAUUGAACACCGAGUGUUAAAAAAAAGAAAGUCAAGACACUACACAUUUUUAUUCUUAUAUGCGUUAUUCAAAAUAUGUAUUUUACAGGACAUGGGCUAAAGUAUUUAACCCAUCAACCAAACAUGAAGAACCUGUGAAUUUGUUUGUGGAGCAGUAGUCCAUUAACAUUUUUUUAGCAAGCUGUUUACAAUAUUGCUGUGUGAAUUAAAUUUUACAGAUGUUUUAUAAAUAAGUUGUUGUGUAGUUUUUGGCAUUGAACCUUUUGUAUGCAAUAUUUCCUCGAAUAACUUAUAUAUAUUGAUAAUAUAAAGAAAUUAUCAUAUUCUGUAGUCAAGAAAUGCAAUCUCUUAUAUUUAUUUUAUGAUCAUAAGCUAAAAAAAAAAAAGCAAAGAACAAGAGAAUCUCUGAUUUAUUAAUGUCCUGUACAAAAUAAAAAUAAAAAGAUGUGAAACUUUCUUUACAUAAUUAGACCAGAGAUUAUUAAUUAAAUAAAGGAAAGUUUUACAUUUGACUGUUCGAUAAAAAAUAUUUAGUUGUUACACAAGUAUAACAUGUUAUGUAUCACCUUAAUUAUGUGGCAUAAAAUUACAUAGAUUGCUCUUGAAAAUGAGUUGAUUUUUAAUUUAUGUCCCUUAACGACUGAACUUAUGUCUAAUAAAACAAAAAUUCUUUACAAAUUGUUAUAUGUAAGACAACUCGAGGAUAUUAAAUAUACAAAUAUGUACUUAUGUUCCAUGGAUUUUUAUUUUUCUUAAAUUACGAAGACAUAAGUUAAAAGACCAACACAAAUAGUCAUAAGUGAACUUUUGGGCCAACAUGUUUGGAGUAGAGAGGAAGAGGGACUUGAUGACUAAUAAAAGCCCACUUCAUUUAGAGAAGAGGAUAGUCUCCAGCCCAUAAUAAAGAUUUUUAUUUUGAAAGAGAAUUGAAUAAAUGAAUAGAGAGUUAUCGGUUUGUAGAGAUGUUAAAUCGUUAUAGAACGAUUAAGAUACUGAUUUAUUGGUUUUUGCUUGUUAUUGGUUUUUUUAUCGAUUUAACUUUAACCGUUAAGAUUUGACAUAACAAAAAAAAUUUUGAAAAUCACUUAGAAACAAGGUGACAAACCAAAUAAACCAUGCAUAUGAGUUCACAAGUUACAUCUUGCUCAAAAGUAAACACUUUUAGAUUAUAGAAUAACCAAGUGUUUGAGACAAACAAAAAUAAAAGUAGAAUAUCAAAACUCUAAGUCAAGGACUUUAUACACAAAAUAAUAUAAAUAUAAUUAUUUAAUUUACUACGGAUUAUCGGUUAACCCGUUAAAAAAAAUCACAAACCAUUAAAAAUCGAUAGCCCGAAACAAAAAAAAAUUAAAAUCGUUAUCAGAACUACUAAAUUAAUAACCAAUAUGAACGAAUUAAUAACUUUUUUUCAAUUUAAAUUAUCAAUUUUGAUUUGAUUUCGAAUGACUCUAGUCCAAAAUACUUAUCAAUCAUCUUUAAUCUUUCCUCUCUCUUUUCUUCAAAUUUAAUUUAUAUUUGACUACAAACUUUGAUAUUGUGAAAUAUCAUAUAAUUAUAAUAUAAAAUAUAAAUAAAUAAAAAGUCUAGCUUGACAGUAUUAUUUUGGAAUAUAUUUCAAACCUCCAACCAUUUUUCUAAAAUUUUUGCGAAAGGGACUUUGAUAAACUUUUUUUUUUUUAAUUAAUAUAUAAAAGAAGAUACACAUAUUGCUCCAGACAAUGUCCACCACAUACUACACUGUGCCUUAGUACAUCCCAAAGAUAUUUGAUUUAAACGUGUGAUCUUAAAGCAAUUUGUGAAUUCUUGUAUUAUUAUACAUAUUAUCUAAACUUUUUUUUUUCAAAUUAGUUGUCAAUUUAAACAAGUAAGAGAAAAAAAUUAAAACUUUAGCCUUAGUAUUAAUUAUUCUAAAAUUAAGAGACACAAGAUAAAGAUUAAACAAAAGUUAUAUAAAUUGACCUCUUUGUGACGAAAGCAAUGACCUAUAGGCUAUAGACCAAUUUAUUGACGAGUCAGAAGAAUAUCUUCGUUGAAAAAUUAUAUUGUAUAUCUAAAAUAAAUUUUUUUUUUUUUUUAUAUAUGUUACAUAUUUUUUAAUUGCUAACCUAUUUUUAUUUUUUUAUAUUUUGAUGUUAAAGUUCUGGCUUGGCCAACUUAAGGCAUCUACACCCCUAUAUAUACUUCGUGUAUGUAUAUACAACAAGCAAAUCAAUACUUUGGCAAUUUUGAGAUUUUUUUUCUUAAUUCAUACAAAAUAAAAUGGCUAAUGAUGAGGUGAUUCUGUUGGAUUUUUGGCCUAGCAUGUAUGGUAUGAGGCUAAGGAUUGCACUUGCUGAGAAAGAGAUUAAAUAUGAGUACAGAGACGAGGAUUUGAGGAACAAAAGUCCUCUGCUUUUGCAGAUGAAUCCUAUUCACAAGAAAAUCCCUGUUUUGAUUCAUAAUGGCAAACCAAUUUGUGAGUCUAUCAUUGGAGUUGAGUAUAUUGAUGAAGUGUGGAAGGAUAAAGCCCCUUUGCUCCCUUCUGAUCCUUAUGAGAGAGCACAAGCUAGGUUUUGGGCUGAUUACAUUGACAAGAAGGUAAAUUCAUAGCCCUUUCCCCUUUUCAUUUUAGUAUUUAUUAGCCAAUCUAAACUAAUUUGGGAUUGAAGCAUUUUUCUGCUGUGUUUGUGUUGUUACAGUGGGUUAGAGUUCCACCUCGAUUUGAAUAGAUUAGUUGUUUACUUAUAUGAACAUAGAUAAUUCUCUUGCCGUGAACUAACUUUUGAAGUUGACUGAGUUAGACAUAUGUGUUACGUCUUUACAUGAUUUUAGAGUCAGAUUCAUUUUUGUUUGUGCUUCUAAUUAAUUUGAACUCAUGUUGAAUCAAGACAUGAAGGGAUGUAAAAGUGGGUUAGAGUCGCACAUUAGUUGGAGAAUGAACUUUCCUAAUUAUGAGCUAACUUUUAAGAUUGAGUAAGGUUUAAAGUUUCAUAUAAUAUAUGAUAUCAGAGUCAGAUUCAUUUCUAUUUGAAUUUCUGUCCCAAGAACUAGUUGGGCCUUGAUGUGAAGAGUGUGUUAAGAGCCCCAAAUUGUGUCGUUUAUAUAAUUUUAGUUAAUCAUCACUUCACAAGCUAGACAACCCCCACCCCCCUUUCCGCGCUCUAGAUGCUAAGUCGUGGUGGUGUUAGAGGUUAAAUUAGUUGAAGAAAUGAAAUAUUGUCUUGGUUAAUCCUAUUCCCCACUUUGUAAACCAGGACCUCCUACUCCAGAUGCUCAGUCUUAGGCGUGAGGGGUUCAACAUUAGUUGAAGAAAUAGAAUACUGUCUCAGUAUAAGUUCAUGUUUUGUGGCAAUAAGUUUUGACCGUUUUCUUGUGUUUGUUGAAAUUUCAGUUAUAUGCUACAGGAAGCAAGAUUUAUACAGCAACGGGAGACGAACAAGAGGCAGGUAAGAAAGAUUUCGUAGAAAUCCUUAAAGUGUUGGAGGGAGCACUUGGAGAGAAGCCUUAUUAUGGAGGAGAUAACUUUGGUUUUGGGGAUAUUGCUCUCAUUGGGUUCUACUGCUGGUUUCAUGCUUAUGAGGUUUAUGGUAACUUCAGCAUUGAGGCUGAGUGCCCAAACCUUGUGGCUUGGGCCAAGAGGUGCAUGCAAAGGGACAGUGUGGCUAAAACUUUGCCUGACCAACAUAAGAUCAUUGAGUUUGUAAAAAUUCUUAGGGAAAAGCUUGGACUUGAAUAAAUAAACAUAUGCAUAUCAUAGUAGUAUUGAAGAAAGGCACUUCAUUCUGCCUUUAUCUUGUGUUGUUUCAAGAUUUGAAAUGUUUGUUUGGUUAUAGUGUAAGUUCUAUUUCUAAUAGUAAUAAAGGAUAAGCUUGUGUCUUGUUAAAUGUUGGCUUUUGUGAUGAGAAGUAAUUACUUUUUUUUUAUCUAACACAAUACUCUCUAUGUUGUGUAGACCUUAGUCCAUAAGUGUAGAAUGUCGAUAUAGCGUCUAGUUAUGUUAAAUUAUUACUCUAAUAUUCGACAUAUAUGAAGAGUAUAAUAGUAAAUUACUAUCGUGUUAUCUAAUAACCUGAUACUAAAAAUCGAUAAUUCAAUAAUUUUUUUUAUAAAAUCAUUAAAAAUCUAAUAAAUUAAUAAUAUUUUUUCAAUUCAUUUUAAUGGGAGGUUUAAUUUUUGCAUACCACUACUUGAUGACUAUAAAACCCACUUCUAUGUUAAAAGAGUCUACUUUGUGAGUCUACAUUCUAUAAGUGUGAGAUUGAUAAUUUGAUUCAAGUUGGUAAGGAAAAUGUACCACAAAUACUCAUUUUUUUUAAAAAAAAAUAAAUUUAUCCAAUUCGGACACAACUUAUGACUUACAUGAUAAGAAAUAAUAAAAUUUGCGUAUCAAUUUACAAUUUUGGCUGGUGUUGGGAAGUCAAAAUAUAUGAUUGAAGUGCAAUCAAAUUUUUAUUCAGGUACUUAAGGCAUGGAUGUCACAAGUGUAAAUGUUGGUUUAUUGAUUAUUUCUUUUGACUAUAAACAAAAACUUAUUUUGUUGAAUUUCAACAAUUUAAUACGUACACGAUUUAGUGCACAAAUAUACUUCAAAUGAUUAUAAUUUGAAAUAUAAGUUUCAAAAUUUUAAAGAACGAAUUCCAAUCAUUUUACUCCUUCCGUCCGGUAUUGUUUGUCAUGAUUUCUUGUUUUAACGUCAAACUAUAAAAAUUUUGACUAACGUUUUAAGAUGCAUUUUUCAUCAUAUUUAUAUGCAAAAAAUAGUAAUUUAUAGUAUUUUUCAUCUAAUUUUAAAAUAUCUAAUUUUUUUGUUUAAAAUAUUCAAUUAAUAUAAUCUAAUUUACCUUUGAAAAUUAAUCAAAUUGAUUUUCAAUAAACGUAACACGACAAACAUUUCUGAACAAAACGAGUACAAUAUUGAUCUAUUUAAGAUGCACGUGACUGAAGUGCAUUCAAUUCUUCCAUGCAGGUAAAAUAUGUCUACUUAUUUUACCUACCAAAAAUAAAAGUAGAGAAAAUAGUUAAAAGUCCCUAGUAUUAAUUUAUAGUAUGAUUUCAAAGUGAAAAAUGCCAAAAAAAAAGGGUACAUUUUAGUCAUCUUUUAUCUUUCGUCUCUCUCUUUUUAUUUAAUUUAUAUUUAACUAAAAUCAUUGACAGCAUAAAUAUCAAAUAAUUGUGAAAUAAAAUUAAACAAAAAGUCAAGCUUGAUAGUGUAGUUGGCAUACAUUUCAAAUCCCAACCAUUUUUCCGUUUUAAUUAAAACCUUGCGAAAGGGACUUUGAUAUUUUUUUGAAAGUAAAAUUAUAAACCUUAAAAAAUAUACACAUUGUUUGUUUGUACAACUCAAAGAUAUCUAUAUGAACGUGUAAUCUAAAGUAAUUUAUAAAUACUUGUAUUGAUUGAUAGACGUUUUAAGUUUUAUUUUUCGUUUUAUAUGUUUUUUUAAUUGUUAAGGUUUUCGUUAUUUGUACAUGUGAAACUAGUAGUAACUUUUUUACAAUUUAUAUAUAACUCAAAAAAAAAAUUUGUCCUAUUUUCGUUUAUGAGCAGAGCUAGAAGAUGUAAGGAGAUAAUCUGAAUCUUAUUUGUUAAAAAUUUACAUUAUAUAUGAUCAAAAUUAUAUAUCUAUACAUCUAAAAUCAAAUAUUGAAUCUUCUAAUUGAACUCUUAGUAUAUUUAUUUAUUUAUAUUUUUGAUUCUUCUUUUUUUUUAAAAACAAACAAAUUAAAUAUGACCCUAUCGCUAUUAAAUGAUGUGGUAUAAUAUAAUUUUUCUACAUGAUAAUUAGUUAGAUCUCUUUUCUACGUACUCGAUAAAUUCGGAAAUUCAUAAGUAUGGUUAAUAGUCUCCAUCGUGAGAAAUCGUGUGGACGUUAUUUGCAAGUUCUAUUAAGAAGAAUCUUGAUAUUUAGAAUUGUUAAAAUGCUUGAAAAUAGAUGUUAUUUGGCCAUAGUAAAUUGUAAUUCUCUUUUCUUUUUCUUUUUUAAAAUGUUUUAAUGACAUACGAUUAAAAUCAAACAUUCUUUUAUUUGAUUUUCAAAAUCUAAAUAAUAUUAUAUAAAUUGAGAUAAAAAUAUUUAAUCGUAAACAUAUUAAAAGAUUUUGAUGUCUUUUUUUAACGUUUUUAAAAAUUUAUUGUAACAAAUAAAUUUUGGAAUAAAUAAAACAUUAAAUUUGGCGGAGAUUUCCAAGAUAAAAGAGGAACAGAAAAUAAAUGGAAUAUUAAAAUUGGCGAAGAUUUCGAAGAUAAGAAAAGGAACACGAGAACGUAUAGGAGCCUCUAUUUUCUGAACUUACUAUUUUAAGCAGAUAUUUCGAAUUUGAAUUUCAAUUAAAAAAAUAUUUUUUAUACACUUCUAAUUAAAUAUUUAGAUAUGAGUUUAAGUUUAAGAAAAUACUAUUAUCAAUCAUGUUUUAGUCAGAAAUAAAGAUAUGAAUUUUGUGGGACUCUAUAAGACAUGUUUAAUUUGAGUUGGUAUUCUAUAAAUUGUGUUCAAUUCAAAUUAGAAUUCUUGAAGACUAUUCAACCUAAAUUCUAAUUUAUGCCUGUAUAAGGGGUACUAAAUUCUAUUAAAAGCAUCUCAAAAAUUUCAUAAAGAGAUUAAUAUCUUGAAUACUCCACAAAUUGAUGGUUUGUUCAUAAAGAGAGGCCAAAUUUAAAUAAUCCUAAUUCGAGAAAUACGUCAACGGUCCUCGAAUCAAUGGAUAAAUCCUAAGAGAGUAGAAUCAAUGAAUCAACAGAAUUGCACCCGCUAUUUUAAUUAAUAAAAUUAUGUUUCUUCAUAUUUUAUUUGUAUGAUUUGUUUAUUUUUCAUAUGUUUAAAAUUUCUUGCAAACAAAUUGGCAUGUCAGUGGAACCAAAUUUGUUCUUCAUCUCUUCUCUUUUAAAUCAAAUCUGAAAAUUUGAAGUCGCAAAAGUGAAGAAUGAGUACUUCAAGCCUCUUCUUUGAGUUUAAUCAAUUCUACGCUCCGACACACCUCGAAGCAGGGGCAUUUGUAGACAUUGAAAUUUAGUGGGAUUCUACAAGACGUGUUCAAUUUGAGUUGGGACUCUACAAGACAAGACGUGUAAACUACGCCACUAACGAUCCAUAUCGUAAGAGAGUAGAAUCAAGGAUCAACAGUACCUGCUAUUUUAAUCAAUAAAAUUAUGUUUGUUCAUAUUUUAUUUGUAUGAUUUGUUUAUUUUUCUUGCAAACAAAAUUUACUAUAUAUAAAAUUAAAUUAAUCAAAUUUUAAUAUAAAUAUGAUUGUAUGAAUAAAUGUAACUUUGCAAGAGACCACGUGACGAAAGCGAUAACCUAUAAAACCUUAGGCCGUCCAGAGAAGUCUCGAAAGACUAAUGAAACUUUUUUUUACGCAACUGCAGAAUCAAGUGUGAACAUUCCAAAUGGACCACUAUAUAUACUACGUAUAUGUAUGUGCUCCGUACAAAUCUAUACAUAAAAUCAAACUUUAGAAUUUUAUUUUAUUUUCCCUUGAUUUUCAUACAACAAAAAUGGCUAAUGAUGAGUUGAUUUUGUUGGAUUUUUGGCUGAAAAAGAGAUUAAAUAUGAGUACAAAGAAGAAGAGGGGCUGAUCAGUAACAAAAGUCCUCUGCUUUUGCAAAUGAAUCCUAUUCACAAGAAAAUCCCUGUUUUGAUUCAUAAUGGUAAAUCAAUUUGUGAGUCUAUUAUUGGAGUUGAGUAUAUUGAUGAAGUGUGGAAGGAUAAAGCCCCUUUACUCCCUUCAGAUCCUUAUGAGAGGGCACAAGCUAGGUUUUGGGCUGAUUACAUUGACAAGAAGGUAAAUUCAUAGCCCUUUCCCCUUUUCAUUUCAGUAUUUAUUAGCCAAUCUAAACUAAUUUGGGAUUGAAGCAUUUUUGUGUUGUGUUGUUAGAGUCCCACCUCGGUUGUGAAUAGAUUAGUUGUAUCACUACUACAAGAAAAGUGUGAAUUACCUAGAAAUUUCAUAUGAAAGUUUGUAAGAAAAUAAGUUCCUACGGAUUUUCAUACUAAUCCUCAUGAAAAUCCCUAUGUAAUUCACACAUUUCUUAUGGUAUAUAUUUAUAUGGAUAUGGACAAUUCUUUUCUCAUGAACUAAUUUUUGAGAUUGAGUUAAUACAUAUAUAUUGUAUUUUUAGUUAUAUGAUAUAUGAUAUCAGAGUGAGGUCCAUUCAUGAUUGAGCGGCUUAGCUAGAGUCACACAUUGGUCGGAGAAUGAACGGGUCAUAAUCAAUUCAUAUGAAUUUGGAUAAUUAUUUUGAUGGUCCAAGUUUCAUAUUUUUAUGUCGUAUUAGAGUAAGGUGUCCCUAUUUACAGUUCCGGUUUAUAACCAUUUUCUUAUUUGUGUUUGUUCAGUUGUAUCGUUCUGCAAGGAAGAUAUGGGGAACAAAGGGAGAAGAGCAGGAGGCAGGUAAGAAAGAUUUCAUAGAAGUAAAAGUGUUGGAGGGAGCACUUGGAGAGAAGCCUUACUUUGGAGGAGAUAAUUUUGGUUUUGUGGAUAUUGCUUUGAUUGGGUUCUAUAGCUGGUUUCAUUCUUAUGAGACUUAUGGUAACUUCAGCACAGAAGCUGAGUGUCCAAAGUUUGUGGCUUGGGCUAAGAGGUGCAUGCAGAGAGACAGUGUGGCUAAGUCUUUGCCUGGCCAACAUAAGGUUCUUGAGUUUGCAAAAAUCCUUAGGCAAAAGUUUGGACUUGAAUAAAGAUAUGUAUAUCAUAAUAUAUUAAAAUAAAAAGGCACUUCAUUGUGCCUUCUUAUGUUGUUGUUUCAAGAUUUAAAAUGUUUGUUUGGUCAUAGUGUAAGUGAGAUCUACUUUUACUUGUUAUAAAGAACUCUUAGUUUGUCUUGUUGAGGGUUGGGUUUUCUAGUCCUUGUAUGUAAUUCUGGGGCUUUUCCUCUUUGUAUUUACAAGAAAUCACUUUUUUUCAUGAGCAUUGCAUUGUCUAUCACCAAUAGUAACAAAGGCCCAGAUCCAAACAAGUUAAGGAUAAGACUAUAUGGUUUACUCGAUUAAAUGUUGUUUUGACAUAGGUGCAAGUUAAUCCGGAGUUGGAAUUAUAUCUAAUGAUUUUGAUAACUUUUGAUCAACUUAAGAAAUUCAAAUUGCACGUCCAACAUUAAACACAACUUGAAUUUCACAUUAAUUUGAUUUCAAAUCAUACAAACCUAAGAUAUUACAAAUAUUUGGGGAGCCUCUAUUAUACAAGUCCUUAAUUGAAAUGUAUGUUUUGCCUUGUAAUUCGAAUUUUACUUUCACCGAUGAAGGCAUAUAUGAAUAAAGUUAGUGUCAAUUUGUAAAUAAUUUGUGACAAAAAUGAGUUCUUUAACAGAGGAUGUUGUAUGAAGAAAAACAAAACAAAGAUAUGCAGGGUGUGUUUUGGUAAAAAAAAAUAAAAAUACUUUAUACGGAGACAAGUGAUUUUUUUAAUUUCAAGAUACGUAGACAUUGAAAUUUUGUGAAAAUUUACAAAAUGUGUUCAACUUGAGUUGAAACUCUACAAAUUGUGAUCAACUUAAAUUAGGAUUCUUGGAGGUUACUCAAUCCUAAAUUAUGCCUAUAUAGAGGGUACUAAAUUCUCUCAAAAAUUCCAUAAAGAGAUGAAGAUCUCGAAUACUCUGCAAAUUUCAUAAAGAGAUCGAAUCAUCCUAGUUCGAGAAAUACAGGAGCUUUCGAAUUAUGGAUAAAUCCUAGGAGAGUAGAUCAACAGAAAUGUACUUGCAAUUUAUUUUGAUCAAUAAAAUUAUGUUUUCUCAUAUUUAAUUUGUGAUUGCAAUUUAUUUUCUGUCACAUUAAAAUUUAUUACAAACAAUAUAAUCUAAUAAAAUAGUAUCUGAUGGGAUACAUGGGUAGAGAGUGGAGGUACAGAGGCGGUAGAAGUGAGAUGGUGAGGGGUAGGGAUUGGAGAUGUUGGAUGUGUGUGGAUAGAAGAUUAUGUCAUAUUUUAAUUUCGAACUUAAUAUUGCAUAGUUUGAUCUAAAUUUUGUUUUGUACACUCAAUCAUCGGAAACAUAAGUUAUUUACUAUUUAAAGUUUGAAGACUUUUUAUGAAAUAUAUUUAGCUAUGACUUUAGAUUUGAGCAUAUGUGAAGAAAAUGUAUAAGUGAUUCAACAAAGGUGUAGAGAUUGUAAUAAGUAAAAUAAGAGCUAGAAGUAGGUUUAAGAAAUCUUGGGGAGUGGGGGGUGGGGGAUUAAACAUAAUAUGAAUUAUGAUAAACCUACCAUUUACUAAAUAGAAAAUUUAAGAUUUCUCCAUAUAUAAAAAAUGGAAAUUAUGAAACAAUAUUAAUAGAUAGUUGAGCAUGUCUUUUCAAUUUUAUUAGUAUUAUAUUAGUCUCUAAUUUCUUUUUUUCAAUUGUUCUAGAGACCGGUCCACAUGAUAAAGUGAUAGCCUAUAGAAAAAUUAUGAAUAAUACCAACUUAAACGUAUUAAUGAAAAAAAACAUAAUAAUACCAACUUAAACGUAUUAAUGAAAAAAAAAACAUGCAAAAAAAUAAUUAUGUUUGUUUGAUUUGCUAGCGUAAGUUCUACAUUGUUUGUACCUCUUGAAUUUUGUGAUUUCAAUUGAAAGUUUGAGUGAUUUUAUUUGAUCGCAUUGGUUAUGCAAUUAUAAAGUAUACCUAUUUUUUUAAAAAGGCACAUCCCUGUGCAUUUUUGAAAUUUAAGUAGCAAUCGGGGUUCUUUCGAACCUUAUUUACUGAAUUUUUCUUAUAUUUUAUAUAUAUAUAUAUAUAUAUAUAUAUAUAUAUAUAUAAAGAUUUAAAUUAACUUUUAAUAUACAUAGUAAAUAUUAAAUUCCUUUUGAUUCUUUCUAUGUUUACUUAUCUAUAUUUGAAAUUUUUAAUUAAAAUCAUGAAUAUUUAUUGGUACAUAGUUGACAAAGAUGAACGACAAUAAAAUUUCUAUAUCAAUUUGUUUGACAUAGAUAACAAGAUUUUCUUACCAUUUUAACUACUUCAUUUGUUUUUUCUAUUUGUCCUUACUAAUAAAUUUCAAUAUCCUUUACAUGUUUUUUAUAAUAUUAAAUUUUAUUUUAAUCAAAUAAAGAACUAUUUGGUGAGCCUCCAUUGGUGUAGAUCUAGCAGGCGACGAAAGCGCUGACAUAUAGGUUACACGAAUCCAUAUAUUUAUAUGUACCACAACCAUAUCAGUACCACCAAUUUUGAAAAAAAAUAUUUCUUUCGGAUUAAUUCAUCCGCAGCAUACAAAGAACUAGUACAAAGUAAUGGCUAAUGAUGAGUUGAUUUUGUUGGAUUUCUGGGCUAGCAUGUUUGGUAUGAGGCUAAGGAUUGCCCUUGCUGAAAAAGGGAUUAAAUAUGAGUACAAAGAAGAAGAGGGACUGAUCAGUAACAAAAGUGCUCUGCUUUUAGAGAUGAAUCCUAUACACAAGAAAGUUCCUGUUUUGAUUCAUAACGGGAAACCAAUUUGUGAGUCUAUUAUUGGAGUUGAGUAUAUUGAAGAAGUGUGGAAGGAUAAAGCCCCUUUGCUCCCUUCUGAUCCUUAUGAGAGGGCACAAGCUAGGUUUUGGGUUGAUUACAUUGACAAGAAGGUAAAUUCAUAGUACUAAUUAGGAUUUAAUUUAGGCCAAAUCUGAAUUGAUUUGGAAUUGAUCUUUCUAUUUUGUGUUGUGUUUCACAUUGGUUGGUUGAAGGUGAAACGUUUUUUUCUUAAGAGUCUUGGUUAAUGGUGACCUAAUGAGGAUUAGCUUUUUUUGGAGUUAAAUUAGGUGAACUCCACUUCUCUUUUGGCCCUCUUGUUGAAAAUAAAUUUAAAUAAUAAAAGUAAUGUAAUAUCUCUUAAAUAGUUUAACUUUUAAAUGGAUAGUCAGUCACACACUAUUCGAGUCAGCAGAGGUUCUGAGAUUAAAUUUAAAUUCCAUCCAUAUCGAAAAGAAUUUCACGUGCUUGGCACAUGAAAAAAAAAGGAGAUCAUGAUGAAAAUCUAAUUAAGUGAUAAAAUUUAGAUGAGAUAUCACAUACUUCAAACAUGUUUAGUCCUACGCGUGUAGGGUAUUAAAGUUUCAGACAAGUAAAAAUGAAAGUGUUAAUCCACACUUCAUAAACUAGUGUUCUCCCUACUCCAGAUGCUCAAUCCUAGGUCCCAGAUCCAAAUGCUCAAUCCUAGUUGUGUUAGAGUUUCACUAGUGUUGUCUAAGGUCCAUUUUCUUAACAUGAACCUGACUAGGGCUUUUAUUUUAGUUUUGUGGCAAUUAACAAGUGAUAACUUCUUUUCUUUUUCUGUGUUUGUUUGAAAUUUUCAGUUGUAUGUUUCUGCAAGAAAGAUAUGGGGAACAAAGGGAGAAGAGCAGGAGGCAGGUAAGAAAGAUUUCAUAGAAGUACUUAAAGUGUUGGAGGGAGAACUUGGAGAGAAGCCUUAUUUUGGAGGAGAUAAUUUUGGUUUUGUGGAUAUUGCUUUGAUUGGGUUCUAUAGCUGGUUUUAUGCUUAUGAGACUUAUGGUAACUUCAGCGCAGAGGCUGAGUGUCCAAAGUUUGUGGCUUGGGCUAAGAGGUGCAUGCAAAGGGACAGUGUGGCCAAGUCUUUGCCUGACCAACAUAAGGUCCUUGAGUUUAUACAAAUGCUAAGGCGGAAGUUUGGAAUUGAAUAAACAUAUGCAUAAUAAUGUGUAUUUGAAUAAAGCACUUCAUUUUGCCUUGUUGAGUUGUUUCAAGAUUUGAAAUUGUUUGUUCUUUUGGUCAUAGUGUAAGUUCUGCUUUUACUUUUGAAUUUUGUGUCUUCAUCUGAACUUGUUACUUUGACUGGAUGAUUGAUAUGAGUGAUUUGAUGUUUGGUUUUGCGAUUAUUGCAUCAUAAUGAUUUGCUUUUUUUUAAAAAAAAGGUUCUUUGAUUUGUGCCUUUUUGAGUUGUAAUUUCAAUGUUUGAAAUCUUUUUUAGGCCAAAUUUUUUCUUUUUUACCUUUCCGUAGGAGCUUCUAUCCUUUUGAUCCGAACUCAUAACUUUCGAGUUGAAAGUGAAGAGUACUUACCAUCUGAACAACUCUCUCUUAUCGACUAUAGUGUAAGUGAUCAGUUUUAAAGUUUUAAAUGACUGGCUAAACUCUAAAUAAAGUUGAACUUUUGAUUGAAAUCUAAAUAGCAACCCUAAAAGGACUAUCCAUGUACUCCCAGAAAGGGGAGACAAGGAAGAAGACUGGGAGUUGGAAGUUACACCCAAGGAUCCUCAAAAGUCUGGAACUUGUUACAUUUGAAUUUUCUUUUGUGAAAAUUACGACUCUUCAUUAUUAAAUUAUGAGAUAUAAUUUAUUAGUAAUGACGUUGUGGUUGAGAAUGAUGAGUGAGUUAUAUAAAUAAUAAUAUUGUAUAAUACUAAUGAUAGUCAAUAAUAAUGAACAAUUGACAAUAAUGAUAAAGGAAUGAAAUUUGAUGUACUACUCUUUUUAUCAAAACCAAUCUAGUCAAGUAAUUUGGAUUGAAGUUUAAGAAGGUUAUUAUUUUUAAAAUUUAUGAUUAUAAAAUUACAACGCUUAUAUGAAUAUAAUAUUUUCACACCAUGUGACGAAAGCGGUGACCAGUAGACUAAUUAUUACGGAACAUAUUAUAAAGUAGUACGAUGAAGUAUAUAAUGAAAAAUAAUGGACCACGUGACGAAAGCAAUUUAAAUCUAUAGUCUAUAAUUAGACUUUUAAUGAAAAUUCUAAAAUAUUAUCGACCUCGAGAUACUCUUUUGAUUUAUGUAAAAAUAUUUAAUUUGACAUAAUAUUUGAGAAUGUGAAAAUUUAUUAUUUGAAAUAAGUUAUACAUAUUUUAUAAAAAAAUAGAUCUAAUGAUCUUAAAAUUAAGUAGUCUUGAAUUUUUUUUAUCCGCGUGCUAUAUGAAUAAACAUCCUAGAUUUAAAAAAAUCAAAACUGGUUAAAUUCGAAAUUUUACCCAAAAAGACAAAUCAGGUUAAAAGUUCAAGAUCAUAUAUAUGCCUUCAAAACCAAUAAUGUAAAUCACUUAGAUAUUUACACGACUAAAAAUUAAUUUCAUCAAAUAUAAGUUGAGAUUGACUGAGAAGGAAAUAGUAUACUUUUUCCGUUUUAAAAAGAUUGCUUAGUUUGAUUUGGAACGGAAUUUAAGAAAAGAAAUAAGACUUUUUAAUCUUGUGGUUCUAAAUUAAAGUUAUGUCAAAUGUACCAAAAUACCCUUUAGUCUUGUGGUAUUAAACAUGUCACGUGGAAAGUUAAAGUUAAAGUGUUGUCAAAAAAGUAAAGAGAUCAUUCUUUUUGAAACAAAUUAAAAAAAAAUAGGGACAUUCUUUUUGAAACGAAGGAAAUAACAUAAAAUAUGUAUAAUGAGAGUAGUAAAAAGGUUUAAUAAUAUUCGCAACCCUAUAAAGUUGUUUGUACCAUCUGUUUCAAUUGAUCACUUGAACGCAUGAUAAAACGUUUCUAUAGGCAUUAUUCAAACUUCGAAUCAUUUUUUUUUUGUGAAUUUCUGAAACGACUAUUAGAUAAUUAAGUUAAUUAUACGACAACCUCAGUAUAAAGACAUAAAAUUUUAUAAGUUAUAAAGGCUAAUACAUAUAAUAAAAGAAUAUCACAUGUUUUAAGUAAUUAACUUAUUUAUGUUAAAUCAAAAGUAUUUAAUAAAAUUAUUUUAUCUAUAUAUUAAGAUGCUCAAUUGAAACAAAAUCUUGACUAUUUAAAUGAAAUUUACUUACAAAAUUAAUGAUUAAACACCCAUAUUGGACCACAAAGUGCUACUAACAGUACACAAAAGCUUCCACAGCACUAUAUAUCUAUUACUUGUAUGUACAACUAACAAAUUAGUAUUAACAAUUGUAAAGAAAAAGUUUGUUUAAUUAGCACAAAAAUGGCUAAUGAUGAGGUGAUUUUGUUGGAUUUUUGGCCUAGCAUGUUUGGUAUGAGGCUAAGGAUUGCACUUGCUGAAAAAGAGGUUAAAUAUGAGUACAAAGAAGAAGAUGUGUGGAACAAAAGCCCUUUGCUUUUAGAGAUGAAUCCUAUAUACAAGAAAGUUCCAGUAUUGAUUCACAAUGGAAAACCAAUUUGUGAGUCUAUUAUUGGAGUUGAGUAUAUUGAGGAAGUGUGGAAGGACAAAGCCCCUUUGCUCCCUUUUGAUCCUUAUGAGAGAGCACAAGCUAGGUUUUGGGCUGACUACAUUAAUAAGAAGGUAAAUUCAUAACCUUUCCUCCUCUUUUUGUUCAUGAAUUCACUAAGAUUCUUAAGCCAAUUUGAACAAGGAAUUAAAAUCAAUGUUAUCUUGUGUUGUAUAUAUAAUGGGAGUGAAAUGUUGUUUUUUAUAGUCUUGGUCAAUUAUAGCACGUGAGAUGAUGAGAGUUGUUUUCGACCAUGUAAAAAAGGUCAAUUUCCCGUCCCCACAAUCAUGGGGAAGUCAACUUUCCUAUCACGCCUAGAAUUGGAUAUUUGGAUUCUGAAGUGUGAACAAUAUAAAACAGAAAGCCAACAUCAUGUAAGUGGAACGAGAUGAGAUUUUUUACUAUGUUAACAAAAUGAACCUUAUAUUUAACUCAACUGCAAAAGCUAAUUCGGUGAGAAUUUCCCUAAACCAUCCCACAAUAAUGUGAGAUCAACUCAACAAGACUUUCCUAGGGUUCCAGGUCCAUUUUCUCAACAUGAAUUUAAUUACUAAGAUAUUUAUCUUAAUUAGUUUUGUGCAAACAAGUGAUAACCUUAUCCUCUUUUGGUUAUCUGUUGAAAUUUUAAAUUGUUUGAUCUUGGAAAGAAGAUAUGGUCAACAAAAGGAGAAGAGCAAGAGGCAGCUAAGAAUGAUUUCAUAGAAUGCCUUUAAGUGCUGGAAGGAGCACUAGGAGAGAAGCCUUACUUUGGUGGAGAUGAUUUUGUUUUUUAUGGAUAUUGCUCUCAUUGGGUUCUACUGCUGGUUUUAUGCUUAUGACACUACAAAAAAAAAAUAACUUUUAGCGACAUUAAAUAUUGACACUAAUAAAGAGUGUUAAAGUCUUUAACUGACAUUAGUUUAGUGCCAUUAGAACCAAUGUCGCUGAAGACUUUAGGGACAUAUACAAAUAGUGACAAUUAUCACUAAAAAUACAUAUUUAGCGACAAUUUAGAAUUAAAUAUCGCUAAUGAUCAUUUUUGUUGUAGUGUGAGACCUAUGGUAACUUCAGCUUAGAAGCCGAGUGCCCUAAGCUUGUGGCUUGGGCCAAGAGGUGCAUGCAAAGGGACUGUGGUCAAGUCUUUGCCUGACAAACAUAAGGUAUGUGAGUUUGUAUCAAUGGCAAGACACAAGUUUGGAAUUGAAUAAAAGUAUCCAUAAUGUUUUCUUGAGUUGUAUAGUUUUGUAUUUGCAAAGCAAGUUUGUUCAUAGUGUAAUAAGUUGGUUCUACUUUUACAAUUGUAAUAAAGGACUCUAAGCAUUGUUGUGUUGAGUGCUUGUUUUUUUACUCCUUGUGUGUAGUUUAGUGCUCCUCUUCGUAUACUGAUCUAGAAUUUAAAGAUUUUGAAGCUAUACUAGAGUAAAUAGAUCGGUUUGUUUAUUUUGGACUUCGAUUCAAAUAUCUACAUAAUAACUAAAUUUAAAAUUUUAAAACAUCAUUAAUAACACGUGUUAAAUAAUACAAAACGAAGCAAGAAACGUGAUUUAUGUUUCAAAAGUCCUUUUCAUAUUACAUUACUCUCGGUCUACAUUUAUUUGUCAUAUUGUGUUUUUCUUAAGUUAAUUUAACUAAUUUUUAAAUUUAAAUUAAAUUACAUUAGUUCAAAAAAUUAUAUAAAAAUUGUCAUUUUUGAAUGGUCAAAUUACAAUUUUUGACUCUAAUAGUAAAUGUUAGUCAAAGUAGUAAAUUUUGUUUUUACUGAAAACAAACAUUUGGAGAGCCUACACCAACCAAGAAGCUACAAACGAAUCUAUACAUUUAUCAAUUCAGUAGUUGCAAUUUUGGGGAAAAAUUGAAAAUUUUCUUACAACAAAAAUGGCUAACGAUGAGGUGAUCGUGUUGGGUUUCUGGCCUAGCAUGUUUGGUUUGAGGCUGAGGAUUGCACUUGCUGAAAAAGAGGUUAAAUUUGAGUACAGAGAAGAGGAUUUGAAGAACAAAAGCCCUCUGCUUUUGCAGAUGAACCCUAUUCACAGGAAAAUCCCUGUUUUGAUUCAUAAUGGCAAACCAAUUUGUGAGUCUAUCAUUGGAGUUGAGUAUAUUGAGGAAGUGUGGAAGGACAAAGCCCCUUUGCUCCCUUCUGAUCCUUAUGAGAGAACACAAGCUAGGUUUUGGGCUGACUACAUUGACAAGAAGGUAAAAAUUCAUACUUUUUUUCGCCUUUUUUAGGCCGAUUCGAUACUAAUUUGGGUUUGAAGCAUUGUUGUUAAUGUUGUAUUAAUUGAGUAGUUUCACAUUGGGUUGUUCAGACUGAAAUGUUGUUUUCUUAAUUGUCUUUGUCAAUGGUGACCUAAUGAGAUUGACCAUUUUUUUUUGUGGUAACCCAAUGUGAGCCCUUUUACUAUACUAUUCAUGCUCCGAAUGUUCAGUCUUGGGCGUGUGGAGUAGUACUAGAGUUUCACAUUAAUUGUAGAAAUUAAUUAGUCAUGUUGUCGUUUGGUUAUGUUUUAUUGUGAAAUUUUAAAAGAGUAAAAUUUACGGUGAAGAAUGAUAUUUGAAAAUUCGAGUUGUGUUUGACUAAACGCCUUGUUAUUCUCACUUCAUAUGCUAGGACUCCCCCCUAUUCCAGAUGCUUAAUUCGAGGUGGUUGAUGAAAUGGAAAUUUAUCUCAUUAUAUAGUCUUGGUUAAUCCUUGCUUCAUACAGCUACGUUCCAUGCUUUAUAUGUUCAGUCCUACGUGUGGGGUUGUUAGAGUUUCACACUAAUUGAAGAAUUAGAACUAUGUCUUGUUAUGUAGUAUUAAUGGUUCCUCACUUUGUAUGCUACGUUUCGCUAGUGUUUAAGGUCCAUUUCCCAUGAACUGACUGGGACUAUUAUUUUAGUUUUGUGUCAACAAGUGAUGACCCGUUUCAUUUUCUGCAUUUGUUGAAAUUUUUCAGUUUUAUUGGCCUGCAAGGAAGCUGUGGACAACAAAGGGCGAAGAGCAGGAGAUAGCGAAGAAAGAUUUCAUAGAAUGCCUUAAAGUGCUGGAGGGAGUACUAGGAGACAAGCCUUAUUUUGGAGGGGAUAACUUUGGUUUUGUAGAUAUUGCUCUCAUUGGAUUCUACUGUUGGUUUAGUGCCUAUGAGACUUACGGUAACUUCAGCACAGAGGCUGAGUUCCCAAAGUUUUUCGCUUGGGCUAAGAGGUGUAUGCAGAGGGACAGUGUGGCUAAGUCUUCGCCAGACCAACAUAAGGUCCUCGAGUUUGUGAAAGUUGUUAGGCAGAGGCUUGGAAUUGAAUAAAAAUAUGCCUAUGCAUCAUAAUGUAGCCAUUCUUGAGUUGUUUCAAGAUUUGAAAUGUUUGUUUUCUUCUACUUUACUGUUUUGUUGAGUGUUGGCUUUAGUCCAUGUAUGAAAUUUUGGGGCUUCUCCUCUUUUGUAAUGAGAAGUAAUUACUUCUUCACGAGCAUUAUGCUUCAGUUCUAAACAAGUUUGAGAUUGGCUAUAAGAUUCUACUCUAUACUAUGAGGAACACAUAUAAUAAACUGAUGAACUAAAGAUACUCCCUCUCGAUUUAUGUAAAAUUGUUUAAUUGAGUAUGACGUUUAAGAAUUUCAAAAUUUGUAUUUGAAAUAAGUUGUAAAUAUUUAUAAGAAAUGAUAUCUAAUGAUCUUGAACUUGACUAAUCUCAGAACUUUUUGACUUCACUUGUCAUAUGAAUUCAAGAUCAAAUGUCCAAACUUGUCAAACUUGAAAUUUUGUUACUAGACAAGCUAGGUAAAAGUUCAAAGAUUAUAUGCCUCCAAAACUAAUCUUGUAAAUCUGUGACUAUAAAAAGUUCCUAUUAGACAUUUUCAACUCAAUUUUUUUUGUGUGAAAAUUCUUAAACGUCUAUUAAAUAAUUAAGUUAAUUAUAUAAAAUAUAUUAACAUAUUAGCCUCAUUUGUAAAGAUGUGAUUUUUAUGACUUAUAAAGGCUAAUCCAUAUAAAAUAUCUCAUAUUUUAAGCAAUUAACUUAUGCAUAUAAAGUUAAAAGUAUUUAAUAAAAAUAUUUUAUCUAUAUAUCAAGGAGCUCAAUUAAAAACAAUUUUGAUUAUUUAAAUGAAUAAAAGUAUGCAUAAUGUAUUUAAAAAAAGGUACGUCAUUGUGCUUUCUUGAGUUGCAGUUUUGUAUUUGAAAAGUUUCAGAUACUGUAAUAAGUCUAUUCUACUUUUACACGUAAACUCAACCUAUGAACAUAUCAAAAACUAAAUAUUACUACUAAUAUUUUUAUUUUAUUCGAUUCUCAUGCUAUUAAAUAUUAAAUAUCUAUAUAAAAUAUCAGUAAUCAAACUUAGAGUCUCAAAAAAAUAAUAAUAAAAUUAAAUUAAUAAAUGCACCUUUGAUUAAAAUUUCUUCGAAGAUGUGAUAUUAUCAUAUUAAUGCGUGUCAAGUAAUAUAAACAGUUUACCUUUAAAGAUUCUUUUCAUUUUACAUUACUCUAGUAGCAGAAGGAAAAAAAUACUACUGGCGGGAUUCGAACCCUUGCCGGUGGCUUCGCACGUCUCUUAUUGAUGAAAUUUAAACCAACUCACCCACAGCUGCUUCUGUUUUAUGGGUGCUCGUUUAAUUUAUAAUAACAUAUGUAUCAUAUUUUCUAUAUAUAUACAAAAAAUUUCAAAAAUCAAUGGGUGCUCGAGCACCCGCGUCUGACUUACUUGGUCCGCCCCUGAUUACUCUCUCCGUUCUAUAUUAAUUGAUCAUCUUAUUAAAGAUAAUUGUGUUAUUAUAGUUGUUCACCUUAAUAAAUUAAGAAAACGUUAAAUAAAUUUUCUUAAAUUAUUCUUGCAAUUUUUCUGUUUGGAAAUAUUCACUUAUAAAAAAUUCAAAAAGUAUUCUAACGGAUGAAUUAAUAAAAUUAUAUUUGUACUUAUGAUUUAUUAAGUACAAUAUGGACAGACGUAAUAAUAAUAAAUUGUUUUUAGUAAAAAAAAGAACAUUUGAGAGCCUCCAUUAGUGUUGACCGACCAGGCGAUGUAAGCGAUGACACAUAUAUAAGCUACAAUCGAAUCUCCAAGUGCUAUAUAUAGAGCUCUGUAUAUGAUAAUUUAUCAAAUCAGUACUAGCAAUUUUAUUUCUUUCUUGUUUAUUCAUAUAUCAAAAAUGGCUAACAAUGAGGUGAUUUUGUUGGAUUUUUGGCCUAGCAUGUUUGGCUUGAGGCUGAGGAUUGCACUUGCUGAAAAAGAGGUUAAAUAUGAGUACAGAGAAGAGGAUUUGCCGAACAAAAGCCCUCUGCUUUUGCAGAUGAACCCUAUUCACAAGAAAAUCCCUGUUUUGAUUCACAAUGGUAAACCGAUUUGUGAGUCUAUUAUUGGAGUUGAGUAUAUUGAUGAAGUUUGGAAGGAUAAAGCCCCUUUGCUCCCUUCUGAUCCUUAUGAGAGGGCACAAGCUAGGUUUUGGGCUGACUACAUUGACAAGAAGGUAAAUUUUAUUAGUUUUUUUAAGGCCGAUUUGAUACUAAGUUGGGAUUGAAGCAUUGUUGUAUUAUUUGAUUUGUUUCACAUUGGUUGGUUGAGAGUGAAAUGUUGUUUUCUUAAUUGUGUUUGUCAAUGGUGACCUAAUGAGAUUAGCUUUUGGGCUUAGAUUAGGUGAUCAUCAUCUUGGGCGUGGUGGUGUUAUUAGAGUUUCACAUUAGUUGUAGAAAUGAAAUAGUCUCGUUGUCUUUUCGUUAUGAAAUUUGAAAAAGAAGUACUUUGUUUCCAAACUGAAAAAUGAGAUUUGAAAAUUGGAGUUGUGUUUGAUCAAACGCCUUGUUAUCCUCAUUUCAUACGCUAGGAUUCCCCCCCUACUCCAGAUGAUUAAUUUUAGGCGUGUGGUGUGUCAGAGUUUCACCUUGGUCGAUGAAAUGGAAAUUUAUCUUAUUAUAGAGUUAAUCCUUAUUUCAUAAGGUAUGUUCCCUGCUCCAGAUGUUCAGUCCUAAGUGCGGUGUUGUUAGAGUUUCACAUUAAUUGAAAAAUUGGAAUUAUGUCUUGUUAUGUAGUAUUGCUUAAUCCUCACUUAUUUUUCGCUAGCGUCUAAUGUCCAUUUUCCAUGAACUGACUAUGACUUUUAUUUUAGUUUUUGUGUCAACAAGUGAUGAUGACCUGUUUCUUUUUCUGCAUUUGUUGAAAUUUUCAGUUUUAUUGGGCUUCAAGGAAGCUGUGGACAACAAAAGGAGAAGAGCUGGACGCAGCUAAGGAAGAGUUCAUAGUAUGCCUCAAAGUUCUGGAGGGAGCACUAGGAGACAAGCCUUAUUUUGGAGGGGAUAACUUUGGUUUUGUGGAUAUUGCUCUCAUUGGGUUCUACUGUUGGUUUAGUGCCUAUGAGACUUACGGUAACUUCAGCACAGAGGCUGAGAGCCCAAAGUUUGUCGCUUGGGCCAAGAGGUGUAUGCAGAGGGACAGUGUGGCUAAGUCUUCGCCCGACCAACAUAAGGUCCUCGAGUUUGUGAAAGUUGUUAGGCAGAGGCUUGGAAUUGAAUAAAAAUAUGCUUAUGCAAUUAUGCAUCAUAAUGUAUUGAAAAAAGGCACUUCAUUGUGCCUUCUUGUGUUGUUGUUUCAAGACUUUAAAAUGUUUGUUUGGUCAUAGUGUAAGUUCUACUUGCACUUGUAAUAAAGGAGUCUUAGCCUGUGACUUUGUUUAGUGUGGCUUUUGUUGUCCUUGUAUGUAAUUGUGGAGCUUCUCCUCUUUGUAAUGAUAAGUAAUUAAUUCUUCACGGGCAUUAUCUACUAUCGAAAAAUUACACUUUAGUUAUAAACAAGUUCGUGAUUGGCUAUAUGAUUCUACUCUAUACUACGAGGAACAUAUAAUAAACUGAUGACAGAUCCAUUAUUUUACUUUUUCUCGAUUCUUGUUACCUCUGUUUUCCAAGUGUUUCGAAGAGUAGGGCUCGUCGCACCAUUUAUCUUGUUUCAGUUCUGCAUGUAAAGCAGGCUCAUUUUUAUGAUGAGUACAAUACAUAUCUUGCAGCAGUCUGGAGGCAUAUGUACUCGGAUGUUGUGUCUUCAGUUGAACUCAUUACUUUUGGCUCGAUGGUGACUUAAUUCUUUGUUGGAUUGAUCUUUGGUUGUAUAAAUAAUAACAUUCACUCACACAUCAAGAUUUGUAUUUUACAGGACAUGGGCUAAAGUACCUGACCCAUCACUCAAAGAGCCUGUGAAUUAGUUAAAGGAGCAGCACCCCAAUUCCAAUUUUUUAUCAAGCUGUUUACAGUGUUGGUGUGUGAAUUAAAUUUUACAGAUGUAUUUAUAUAAUUAACUUCUUGUGAAGUUUGGGGCAUAGUACCUUUUGUAUGCUAUACUUACUCGGAUAAUUUGUAUACAUUGACAGUGUAAAGAAAUUAUCGUAUUCAGUAGUCGAUGUUUAAGUCUUUGUUAAUCCUUACUCCAUAAGCUAUGUUUGUUCUUUUCAUAAUGUAGUGUAGCUCAGUUCUACUUUAAUCGUAGUAAAACACUCUUAGCUUUGUUUUUGUUGAGAGUGUUUGUUUUUGUAAUCCUUGUGUGUAACCUGGUGCUUCUAUUGUUCUAUUCAUUGUAUUAAAACGUAAUCGCUCUUUUUCAUGAAUAUCAUAUACUACAAAAUAGUUACGUCUCAAUUUCAAAUAAGUUGUGAUUCUGCACGUGAUAAGCUUCAUAUAAGUAAUUAAGUAAGGGCUUGUUUGGUUGUUCAGAUAAGAAUUACAAUUCCUAAUACUCUUUAUGUUCGACCAUUAAAAACUCAAAUAUCUUUGUUUAAUUUAGAUUUAUGAAAUUGAAAAUGAAAUCAUAUUUGAUUAUACUUUUUGCAGAAACAAGAUACCGAACACUCAUAAAAGAUUAUUCCAAAACUUUUUUUUUUCCCGUGACCAAACAUGAUACACGAGUCCUAAAAUUUGUUUCUAGUAAAUUAAAAAAAUACAUCUGACGUAUGUAGUGACAAAAUGCAAAGAUUUUGAAGAAAAAAAAUAAGAAGGUUGAGGGCCCUCUAUAAUAAUCCACGUGACUUGUGAGUCCCGUGAUGUGACGAGAGUAAUGACAUAAAAACUCGCGUUUUAAAAUGUGUUGUUUUUAGAUAGAGAAUGGACCACAACAGCACUAUAUAUAUAUAUAUAUAUAUCUUGUGCUGUACCAUUAGCAUAUCAGUAUUACCAAUUUUCUUUCUUUUUCUUCAUUCAUACAACAAAAAUGGCUAACGAUGAAGUGAUUCUGUUGGAUUUUUGGCCUAGCAUGUUUGGAAUGAGGCUAAGGAUUGCACUUGCUGAGAAAGAGAUUAAAUAUGAGUACAGAGACGAGGAUUUGAGGAACAAAAGUCCUCUGCUUUUGCAGAUGAAUCCUAUUCACAAGAAAAUCCCUGUUUUGAUUCAUAAUGGCAAACCAAUUUGCGAGUCUAUUAUUGGAGUUGAGUAUAUUGAUGAAGUGUGGAAGGAUAAAGCCCC